GGGCAAAGGGCAACAUUUAUAAGCAAAUGAAGUAAUAAGCUACAACAAAGUAGGAAGUAGCAUGGACCCAUCUUUAGUACCAAAAUCUAUGGAGCUGUUAUCUCAUCUCACCUGAUCAGUAAUGGGUCACUCUAUGAAUCGCUACUUUCAACAUUUACAAAUUAAUUCUAGCAACACUUACCAAUAAGUACAUAUACCAGCUAUUAAAUCGAACAUGAUUUGUAAUUGAAUUACGGCGCAAGAUAUGGUUCGCUCAAGGUGCCGUGAGCAUGAAAGUGUCCUCAUCUAAUAGUUUUUUCGAGAUCAAUCAAGUCUUUGUCCAAAUCUGUCGUUUCUCCUGCAAAGUUGAGAACCUUAUCGUACAAGACCUGCCAAGUUAAUGCAAAGAGAGAAUUUGUCAUAAAAACCAAACUUAGUUUUCAUGCAUGCUUUCUAAAUCUUAAUACUGAUAACCACCCAUGAGAUACCAAGGUCUUGCAGAGUCAUCUCACGAAAGCUCGAUUUCAGUGAAAAAUCUAAACAUCUCUAAUAAGACUGAGCUUUCAUGUGUCAAUAUCCUUACCAAGAGUAACAAAUAUCAAUGUAUUAGAGAGAACAUUUCAAUGACUUGAGUGUGAGUGACAGACAUGGCUUUGUUCAAUUUUUUUCUAAGAUUUUUAUAUGUUUGAAGGAUCUUACCCCAUACCUAUGUCUAUGUAUGACUCUAACGUGGGUACUUUUAGAAAAAUAAAGAGCUGGAGUAACAUAGUUUUCAAUUACCUUCUCUUGGAUCUCGGUGACAACAUUUUUCAUCCUACUAUAUUGAUCUCGACCUGCAGGAUUCUGGGCCAUGGACUUAACUCUGGCAAGUGCCUUCUGCAACCUUUCUUCAGUUUGCUUCCUGCCUUUUUUCAAGAAAUCAUAGUCAUCCUCCUUUGGGGGCACAGAUACGCUAGGACCCUUGGUGAGUGUUUCAGGUUUGAAUCCACGUAAACCACUUCCUUUCCGUCUCCAACGUAAGAUCACCUUCUCCACAAUUCCUACUGACCAGACGAUCUUCCGAUAGUUUUUCCUUACCUGGUGGCCUCUUACAUGAGCCUUUCAUAAAGUUAAACGAAACUAAAAGUUAGGGUUCAACAAUUCAACAAUUAUGAUUGUCAAGGAAAAUUAGGACUCAAUAUAAAGCAUGAAUUAUAAGAGCCAAUAAACUAAGCAGCAAUGGCAAUGGACCUGAAUCUUGACAAUGCGUUGGCGGAUUAUCAGAAACUCUUUUCUGCCCUUCCAACCACGAAACUUAUUUUGUAUGCGAAUGGCAGCAGCAUGCACGCGCUCAUCAUGUUGUCCGGGCUUGUUUGACUUGACUGCUAAAAGUGAAAGUGCACGCUCAUCUGACAUUCCAUAUUUAUCAUUACCAUACUCUUUUAACUGCCUGUUUUGGAAAGACUGUACCCUGAAGACUUGAUGGAUGCGAGCAGCAGCUUGCAUGGCAUUACGAACAGCAGCUAAUGAGUCCUUUAGUGAUGGGCCAUCAGAAGCAUCCCCAUAGUUGAGUGGAGCUGUGUUUAGCUCCAAAAUUUUCUGUAUGACAUCUGGUCUAGAAUCUGUGGUACUGGCACUGCCUUGCUUAUCCAAAUUGAGGGAUAGAAGAUGGGAACUCAAAUCACAUUCAGCAAGAUAACCAGAAAUUCCUUUAUGUCCGUUGGCUGAGGCCAGGUCAGCAGGCGUUCUGCCUAAAGGAUAUUCUGGUGUUGGAUCUGUUAAUGCUCCGGGAGCUGCAUCCAAUGAAAUAAGGGAAGCAACUGUGCGUUCUCUGAUGUUAAAGACAGUUUAUGUCAGCAGAAGCCAGACAGACCACAACAAGCACAUCAUUAUUUUAGGACCCUUAUUUUAGGAGGCCUGGAGCUCUACAGCCUAGAAUUCGCUUGUUUCGAAAAUAGGGUAGUAGGGGAAAUUAAUCAAAAAGAUGAAAAAUAAAAUAGACAGAACAUAAUUUAACUUGAUUUUCAAGAUGCUUACCUGCCAGAAGAUGCCGCCCAAUGAAGUGCAGUCCAACCAUUCACAUCCCGGAAGUUAACACUAACACCAGCAACUAUCGUUGGUUCUAAGGCCCAGUCAUAUCCAAGAGCAGAAGCAAAAUGUAUAACACCUUGGCCACCCUUGUCCAAUAUACUAGGGCCUUUUCCACCUUCCGCUAUCUUCUGCAAGAGCCAUACACGCAACUUCUCUUUCAAUAGCUUUUCAAGCAGCUGCUCCUUUAGUUUUUCUAGGAAAAAGUCUUCCUCCAAGUUAUGUGCCAACAUUUGGUCCCAUUCCUCAAUGUCCUCCUCCAGCAAUGAAUUAAUUUUACUGCUCAGCUGGGAUAUAUCAACGAUGCUAUUGGUGUUAGAAGCGGGAGAACUGGAGCCGAGGCACAAUAAUCUACCAAAUCGCAUAUCAAGAAUUUCAAUGGCAUUACUACUAGGAUUAUCAACAGUAUCUAUAUCUUGGAUAUGACUGACUCGGUAUUCAAACUCUCGGACUUCACUACAAGCUAAUCUGUUGGAGCAUGUGACAUAGAAGGGAACCCUGCCAGCCUCAUGUCUUGGAGCGUGGCAAUGAAGAACACCAUCUGCUAUGACCUCUGCUGGAACUUCUACUUCCCCAAACAUGCAUGACCACUUGCAAUUUUCGGCAUGGCCUUGACUUUUCAAGAACCUUCCUGUAAUGAGGACCUGCGUGAAAUAAAGAAAAUAGAGGGAAAGAAAAAAUGUUAACACAUGAGAAAACUAGUUGUUAACAUUCCACUACAGUGAGGAACUAAUUAUUCAGUAUUUCAGUGUCAUCAGUGAAAUGUUGAUAUUUCAAUGCUUGCUUGCCUUUCAUGGAAAAAAAUACAGCCUACCUUGAUUUCAGAGCCUACAUAUGCCCAAUUCGGUGAAAAAUCAAUAAUACUGAAAAGCUGAUCAUGCGAGAGAGAAGGACCCAACAUAAAGGUAUCUAACUGCUCUUGAGAGGGAAUAGAGGAAACAUCAAUCCCAUUUUGACCUUCCACCUCAUCCCAAUAGGCCCCAGAACUGGAAUGCGUAUGCGAUUCAUCUACAUCUCCAAGUUCUUUACUCAUCCAGCGGUUGAAACUAUCAAGCUUCUUCAGACCUUCUUCUGCUAAAGAACCAUCAAACAGAUGUGGUCUCAUAGCAGAAGAAUAAACAGAUUUCCCCUCCAGUGUCAAAUAGUUCUCUGGAUCUGGUUUAGGAACAUAUUCAUGGUCCCCUUUUGAGGGGUCUGUCAGCUGGUUAUUUAGUAGAUAAUGAUCAUGUUGCUUUUCUGGAUGCAGAUUGUGAUUAACUUCUUCAUCAAAUCUUGAAGUAAGAUCAUAUCUCAGGUCUGGAUGCAACUUCUGGUCCAAUGACCACUUCACUAAAUGAGAAGAAUCACCCUCAUAACCCUGUUUAGGGGCCAAAUUAGGACUUAAUUGGAAGAAGAAAAGGUAGAACAUACACUAUGCAUUAAACUGCAGCAAUGCAACUACAGCAUAUCAUAUAAGGUCAUAACUUUUAAAGGACCUAAAUUUUCAAUUACAGCUGGCAUGACUAAUGGCCAUUAUUAAUGCCUUUUCUUUAAAUAGUGCAAUUCAACUUUUAGCAUUUAUUAAGCUAGAAUUUUCAAAGCCGUUAUCAAAGAUAGUUAUGGCAGAGAAAAACUCAUGGUUUCAAAAACUACAAUUUGCACCUUGAAUUUACACAUGCUACAUGAGGUAAAUCACUCCAUUACCUGCCACUUUUCUUGAGCAUGUGAUUGAUCCUCAAACGCCUGCUUUUUAAGAAAGCUGUUGUCAAAUAGCAGCCCCACAGUAUCAUUUUGUUUCAAGGUAAAUGGUGGCUGAUAUUGUGCAGAUUCAACCCCACGAUCAGAGUCUUCCAACACAUCCUCCCAUGAUGUGAAAUCAAGGUUCUUCUGGGGCUCAUACGUUAUUCCAGCAUCAUUAUACUCUCUAUCCUUGUUAGUUUGAGUAAGUUGAAAAGCAGUUAGAGAUGGCUUCCCAUGAUAAUUAUCUGUUAGCAGUGAAGGCCAGUAAGCAAAAACGGAGAGGUAAAUCAACAGGAAAGAAGGGAAUAACACAAAAUCAAAGAAUUAACAUACUUGAAUGUGAUACAUGAACAUAUGGAUCAUAGAAUCUGGUAUCAGUCCUCCCUGCAACAGGCUGAUGUGAAUCAAGAAAAGAAUGGAACCGUGAACUUGCUUGAUGAUUAUACACUGCAUCAAAUAUCAUCUUCAUUGGUAAGAAUAAGACAAACUAAUGCAUUCAUUACUCACAAAACCAACAUAUUCUCAAACUACAUUAAACUAGCUACCUAAUCAUUUAUUAAAAACUGAGCCAUAUUUAGCUAAAAAUAAACAUACCUGAUUCAGCAUCUUCAUAUUCUUAUGCCUGCACAUGCACACUGUUCAUGCUUGCUGUAUCCAUAGUUUGUGAAGGAAUCUGACUAUAAUUGGGAUGAAAAUUGGAAGACAUAGAACUUUCCACCUCAGAAUUGGGUACAAUUCCUACAGCUUCUUGGUAAUAUGGAAUAGUUCCUUCAGUCUCUUUGAGAUGGUUAAAAUUUGUCCUAUUUCCCUGACAAAAUUUCAGAAAGUAAAAAAGAAAAACUAGAAAACGGCUGUUCAUGGGAACUAUUAAGAAACUUACAGAAAACACUUGAGACUCAGACAAAUAUUAAAUUCAAUUAUGUUCAGAGUUAAGAAAUGUAUAUGAAAAUCUACAAAAUUACAUUUUGUGAUGCCAAAGACCUUUAAUGUUUUAGAAGAGAUUAAGGAGCAAUGUUUUACUAUGUCUAGUGGUUCAGAAGGCAAUGCUCACAACAGGAAAAAGGGUGGGAAAAUAUAGGAAUUAGCAGCCUUUUAUCCCCUCUGAUUUCCUGUUUGCUCCCUUAAUGCUGUCUAAGAAACUUCUUUUUCCUGAUUCAGAAUAAGAUUGGGGCAAGUCGAAUAGAAUGCCUAGUCCUGGUACAACAGGGGCAAGUUCACCACCUAAUGUGAGUUCGUCCAAGUUAAUGGCACCAACAGACAGUAGAAAAUAUGAAGGAAGAAAAUGAGCAAUCAUUCAAGGUAAAGAUAGCCACACAGCUUAGAUGGAAAUAGCUCAAGUAAAUAAACGGGAGUGAGAAGACAUAGUGGACAAAGCAACAAACAAUACAAAGUUUAUACUGCUCAAGUAUAUAUACAUAUACAUAUACAUAUAUAUAAUAUUGACCAUAUAAUACAACAUCUGACCAUCAACACAGUACAAAAUACAAUACUUAUCCUUGAUUUAAGCCAAGAAAACUAUGUUCUUGGCCUGCUGAAAUUUUUGCAUGCACAAUAAAGAAACCAAGUAAAAAUGAACAUAACUGAAUGUAUUAACUUGUUUUAGAGCAUUCAGACCGUACCACUUCAAAAUGUACAAAUGAAGAGAUAAGAAAGACGUCUAUAAACAAAAAGCUGCUCCAUCAAUUUAUAUCAACUUCUUAAAACUCCUUUUUGGCCAGGUAAUAAUAUUCAGAAUUCUGUACCCAUACCAUCAUCUAAAGCUAGAAAUAUAUGGGUUUCAAUUUCUAACUUUUACCAGUCAAAGAAUCUUCUAACAAACGAAGCUAUAAAACUAUUAUAAACUUCAAAUAGUUCUUUCAAAGAUGGAAAAGCAGGUGCAGAAAGAAAAAGAAAAAGGUGAUAGAAAAAGGUCUGACCUUUACAUCUCGAUAGUGGACAAGAACAAUGUGCGAGAGAUCCCUACACAUAGCAGUGAAUUAUGUCAGCAACCAAAGAGAGAUUCCUUAAAUUAGUACUGCAGCAGAGAAACUAAUUACAGUUUCAAGCAAAAAGCACGUGCAUUUCAAACAACAAAAUAUGACCCACAUUAGCAGAAUUGAUUGCAAAAAUUAGAAAUCUCUGCCAACAUGCUAAAUAGUCUAUUAUCGUAAUGCAAAACAUACUAUAAAAAGACAAGGAAUCUUAGCUUUGGUAUUUCAUUAUGUUAACCUUAUUGAAGGUAUAAAUAUGAGUUGAUUGUUGACCAAGUUUUUUCCUAAUUUUAGAGAAGAAAAGUCGAACUGAUCAACAGAAUUUCAGACUUAACAGCCAUCUUUUCAAUGUAGAAACAAAAUAUCAGAAUUAAUAAUGCAUGUAACAUAGAAGCAUCCUAUCAUGGAAAAGAAGAGGAUAAAACCGAGUUCAGUACAGGCAUAAGCAAAAGAAAAUUUUCAAUACAGUCUAAACUGUCUUGGUGUAUCGGUUUAACUGACAUGAAAGAAAAUAAAUUCUAGGUUCAAAUUUUAGUAAUAGAAAAAUUAAUGGACGAGUGUGUAAUUUUCAGGAACAAGAAAAAAUAUGAUUGCCUUCAACUCUCAGUGUCUCCAUCACAUAAGUUUAGACUAUCAACUACAAAGUAGAGGAAGAAUUUUUUUGUAAAUCACAUCUAACUAUAAUUUCAUUGAGUGAAAUAACCAAGUAUAACUAAAGCUAAAUUUAAUUGUUGAAAUAGAAAAUGUAAUGCACACACAAUAAUGUCAAAACAAUGACCGCCACAUGGCCCAUAAACAUAUAAAGACUCACUCUUCAAGCAUCCAAUAACUGCGUCUUUGAAAAUUUUCAUUUUCUUCUCCAUGAGCAUAGUAGCAAUGCAGAACAUCAAUGCUUCCUGCCUGAAAAAAAUCAACAUCUUUCCAAUGGUUUUCACUUGAAGCAAAGAAAACUUCAUACAAAAUGUGUUCUUUCUUACCACAAAAGAAUUCAACAUAGACGACAAGAUGACACUGACUCUUACCUUGAGUCUCUCAUGAGCUUCCUUCACUGUCUUCCCAUCCUUUUUCUUCCUCCAGUUAUGUCCAUCCUUUCUAAAGUAUCUCAGUACCUUUCGAUCAAAAAGAAAAAGUGAACCACCUGAAAACAGAAACAGUUGGAUAAUUAAAUUUGGGAUGUUUGCAUAGUUUAAAUAUCAAAAUGACCUUCAAUCCAAUUUGGGAUGUUAGCAUAUUUUAAAUAUCAAAACAGCCACUAACCGAAUUCAGGAUGUUAGCAUAUUUUAAGUAUCAAACAACCAUUAAUUACUUAUCAAACAACCAUUAAUUACUAGUAGCAAACUUGUUCUGCUCAUUAUUGUAGAGGAUGAAUCUAACCCAAAAUAAGUAAUCUAAAAAAUGCACCAAGACAAGCACUGGACUGUGUGAUUUUGUAAUCAAUAAUCAGCAAGCUAUCCAUCAACCAAGGGGCUAAAUUAAUAACCCAGAAUAAUAGAGAAAUAAGAUAUCAGCAGAUUUUAGGAAAAAGUAAGCUAUUUAAAUUUAGAUAUUUAAAUUUAGAUGUCAAGUUAAUGAUGUAAUUUUACCCGCCCUGGAAUCAGAGGACUGAACGCACACACACACACACACAAAAAAAAAAAAAAGAGAGAGAGAAGAAUGGCAUUAUGAGAAAAUAAGAAAUAAUAUAGUAACAUGGUUUGUUUGAGAACAUUUUAACUAUAGUAUUUACAUCAUAAAUGGUUUUCUAUCUGAAGCAGAAUCCAAAUACAAUUCCAUUACCUAGGAAAAGGAUUAAAAGAAUUGAAAGACAGCACAUUGACGUGGAAUAUUUGAGAAAAGAAAGCUGCAAUCCCACAAGGGAAAGAUAUUGAGCAGAUAUUCAAAGAAGCAAAUGAUAAUAUUAUCCUAAAUGGCAGGAGAAAUAGAACUUCAGAAUCAAAAGAGCAAUAUUUUCAUGAUGUCAAGAUAAUUAUCAACCUAUCAUCAUCUAACAGCAUGAACCAUUACAAUGCAAUUCAAAGAUCAUACUUGGUGGCAUAUGUGCUGGUUCGGAAGAAAUGUGGAAUUUCUUAUAAUUUCUAAGAAUUUCACAUAUUUCAGCUGGUCUUAGCCACCUAUGCUGCGCUUCCAGGAGUAUUUGAUCAAUAUCUGCACCAAACAAGAUGAGAGAGUUCGCUCAAAUCUAUGCAUAUAACUUCAUAUCAAAAAGUAAAAAACCAUCAAAUUACUCAAACCCUCACAUUAACUUCGUAAUAAAAAAGAUUCUUGAUUAAUACAAAGCUCUGUGUACCAAAGAAGAAGAAAGUCAAAACAGCUUCAUUUGCCUUUUAAUUCUGACCCUAAGUCUCUCUCUUUUCAACAAAAUUAAUACCCCCUCUGCUUAACCAUUUCUCUUCUUCCGCAUAAAAGAACCCGAAUGAGAAGCCAUAGUCUCGAACAAAUUAAUUUAAAACCCACCACAGAAACUAAAGUAUAAGCAAGAGCACUACAUUUUAGUAAACCAAACCAAUAAAAAAAAGGGUGUUAAAACAUGCAAAUUUCAACAUUCACUAGAAACACAAAUAAAAGAUAAUGUAAAAAACUAGGGGGACCCCCGGGGGGGGGGGGGGGGGAAAUGAAAUAGAAUAUAGAAGAGCCAAUUAUAUAGGUACCAAGUUGAUUAGUAAGGACAUAGCGCCUAGACUCUGCCAUAAUCUUGGCUUUCUUUCUUCUUUUUCUCUGUUCAACUCACUCUCUCUCUUAGCUCAAAAUAUAAAACCCUUGAGAAAAAGCUCCUUUCCAAGGACAGAAGUUAUACUCAUUUAAGGAUCUGUUAAAAGCCCAAAACAAAACAAAAAAAAGAACGCGGUUUAUCGAGAAAAGAGAAAGUGGGUGAUCGAAGGUAACGCGCCCUUGCUAUGUAAGUUUUAAUCUCGUUUGUAAAGAAGAAUUUUAAAAUACAGAAAAUUUAUAUAUACAUAUUUACAAGAGAAAGAGGGAGGAAAUCGCCGAGGAAAUGGAUGGAAGAGGGAUUAUCACUAUCACCCAGGAUUCAACGUCGUAGACUUUCUUCGCUCCACUUUUUGACCACCCUUCUCACUUAUUGAAACAAUCUGCCUCUACCAUUAUCUUCUAUCAUUUACCCCAACUUGACUAAACUUUUCUUUUGGUGACAAGGGUACAUAAACUAUCUUUUAUCCAUUUUACACUAAUUUAUAAUUUACCCAUUAAAUAUCAUCAUUGGACGUUUAAAAUAUAAUUUUUAAUUUUUUUUCUUAUACAUUAUUUUUCUCUUUAUUUUUUUUUGUUUUCUUUUCCAUUUUCUUUCUUCUCCCUUUUAUAAUAUUUGUCAAAUACUAACAAUAUUUAUACCGAAAAUAAAAUACUAUUCAAAAUUCACUCGCUCAAAAUUAAAACACUAGCCAUUAAUUAUAUUUUCAAAUUUUACUCUCUGCUUGUUGAACCUAGCCAGAUUAAAAAAGUUCAUUCAUCAAUCAAAAUUAGUGUUUUUAAAAAUCGAACAGAUCUAUUGGACAAGAAGCUGACUCGAAUAUCAAUCUGAAGAUAAAAAUUGGCUUGGUAACUUUUCGUUUUGGGGUUUUCAUACUUGGGAUUGAAUAUUAAUUAUAUGCUGAAAUUGGAUUGAGCAUGUCACUCGGCUAAAUUGAUAAUUGGGGACUUUAUUUGUUUUUCAGCUAUAAGCCAGAUAAACAAAAAUGUUUUUCUUCAAAGGCAGUGUCAUGCAAUGAGUUUUUUUUCUAAAAGCCACUCCAGUUCUGCUAACUUAACUUAAUAAAUGAUGGUUUAAUUAGAUGAACAUUUUCCUAAAAUUAACAAAGGCAACUGCGACACACAACAGGUCUUACACUGACACACAAUAAGCUGACGCCAAGUCCCAGACAGGUCUUACACUAGCUUGUAUAUCUCGAGGCUAAUGGAUGUCCCAAACAUGUCUUACACUAGCUCUCGUCUCAAAGCCAAUGCAUGUGCCAGACAUGUCUUACACUAGCACACAUAUCACCCAAUGUCAUGGCAUGAAUAUCCAAAUCUAUUCCUAAAGUUCAACCGGGAGUCUUUACUACGUUAAUUUCUCAAUGUGCAUACUCAUAUUCACAAUCAUAACAAUUUAUGCAAUAUCAAUUCAAUCACAAAUCAUAACAAUAUAGUUGCAUUAUUAACAUACAACUUACCUCAGAUUACAAAAUGUAGGCGACUAGUCGGUUUUAAUCUACUUGCAUAGCCUUCCCUUGGUCUAGGUUCGAAUUUUGUGUUUCUUGAUCUAAAAUAAUAAAAAUUCAUCCAUUUAAUUACUAGAUAAAUUUAUACAAUCAAAAAUUCAUAUUUUUUGCAAAAUGACCAUUUUGCCCCUAAACUUUCACAAAAUGAACAUUUUAUCCCUAGGCUCGAAAAUCAAAUUUUAUCGAAUUUCUUCAUGCCUUAAUCCUAGACAAACCCUUUUUACUCUUAUAACAUCCCAAAAUUUCCAUUAUUUCACCACAUUACUAUCUAUUUUACAAUCUUUACAAAAUGAUCCUAUUAGGGUUUUCAUGAGAAGUUCUUUCACAAAAGUUGUUUAUUUCACAACCAUAACUUAUAUUAUUUCAUAAAAUUUCAGUUAACAACAUAUAUGCUUUCAUAGCAAAACCCUAGACUCUCAACCAUUUUGCAAAAUAGUCUCUUCAUUAGUUAGCUCAUGCUAUAAGGGUUCCAAAAGUACCAAAAUCAUAAAAAAUAACCAUCUAAAUCACUUACUUGAGAGAGGAAUAAAUGGCUGAAAGUUUCAAGCUCCCAUGGCUAUUUCUUGGAGGAAAAAUUGGUGGAAGAAAGAAGAGUAAAAAGAUGACAACAUUUUUCUCUUUAUUUUAUUUCUAGACAAUAUUAAGUCAUCAACUCACCUAACCAUUUGACCAAUUGAUUUAUCUUGUCCCUACGGUCGGCCAAGCUUCUUUUAAGGGUCUAAUUUCACUUUAAAGACCUCAAAUUAUGGCUCUCUAGCUAUUUAACACCUUUGGCUAGCAAAUCACAACUUUUUCCCUUUAUGCGAUUUAGUCUUUUUUUUGCAAUUAGGCUCACAAUGCUAAAAUUAAUUCACCAAAAUUUUCAUACACUCAUAUAAUCAUACUAUGACACCAAAAUAAAAAUAAUAAUAAUUUCUUGACUUCAAAAUUGUGGUCCUGAAAUCACUGUUCUGACUAAGCCCAAAAUCGGUUUGUUACAGAACUGUUGGAUCAACUAGGGUUUUGAUUUGUAGAUACUAAGAUAAGCACCAUUUGGGGAAAUGUUGGGAAAGAAUGCUCCUCGACAAGUAAAUAGAUGCAACUCUGGCACAAAAUUAGAGGGUUAGUUAGUUUCCUCCAAGGGGUCCAAUCAGAAUUAAAGUUAGACAACUAGCACUAGUUUAUGCAGCUAGGCGUCACAAGGACCAAGACACAUCCAAUGUUAAUGCGAGAACAUUUCCUAAAUCGUACUUCGCAUCGAUUAAUUCUGACUUCACUUGUUUGUUCAGUGUUAGUAGAGUUUUUAAUAAAUUUGGAAUCGAUCUAGAGGAAUCUGAUAGUAAAAUUUCUGUAAUUAGAUCUUAAAGAGAUAUUUGUUGGGAUUUAAGAGAAGCGUGUUUGGAAUUGUAUUGGAAACCAGAGUUACACAACGAAAGUGUGGCAACUCAGUUUAAAGAAAGGAGUAUAGGAUUUUGCGACUAAGAAAAAUUUCAAGAACGAAAUUUCUUUAAGGAGUGGAGAAUUGUAACAUCCCAAAAAUAGGGGGUUAGUAGAACCUGGUUUGUGAAUCGAAAGAGAGAGUGGUCAUGCCCUAAUUUUUGAGAUUAUCUGUGUAUUUUUAUGAAAUAUAUGAGGUAUUGGUUUGUUGGAUAACUGUUAGUGAAACAUUCCUUGAAACCCAAGUUUAAAUCCCUUCUCUCGCACCAUUUUCAUUAUUUUGUAAAUUUUGCAUCAAAUCCUAAUAUGUGCCAGGCCUUAUUUUAAAAAUAAAUACCGCAAAAUUAUUUCAAGAAUGAGGAAAUAGAUUAGUGGUUAAAAGAAAUAUGAGAAAGUAUGAAAAUUAAAUUAAGGUCCCAAGUUUGAAUCUUUUCCCUUACAAAAUAAUUAAAUUUUGCAAAAUCUUAUUUUUUUUUGUGUAUGCCAUCCAUACCCUCUUAGACCUAGGUAUAUAUAUUAUUUUUAGACAAAAUUAUAAACUUUUAUCUCAUGCUUCCCACCCUAGCUGUCCCUAUCCUUCUCCCCUCCUUUUCUCUUUCAAUUUUUUCUUUCUUUCUCCAUUUUUGUACGGCUCAUAGCUCUUAAUUUAUCAUCUUUUUCUUUUCUUUUUGCAACAAGAUCUUGGACCAUAUCUCCUACCACCUUGCUAUCAUUUUUCCUUAAUAUAUUUAGCCCUAAAUCUAAAAUCUUGAACCUAUAAGAUUGAUUCCUAUCGUUUCCAAGAAGUGCCAUUACCGCCAUUAGCAUCUAACUUGUGUAAGAUAUCAUUUUCUCUCAAUUUCUUGAUAAAUCUUGUUAAAAAAAAACCAAAAUUUCCAAAUAUUCAAUUUAUGGUAUUUUUAAAGAUUUAAUGUGUAACACCCCGUACCCGAGACCGUUGCCGGGGUCGGACACGAGGGGUUCACAGACUAAAUUCGCUUACUAUCGCAAUCCAUUUUAAAAUUUUCCAGGCAGUUGGCUAACUGCGACACUGUCACCUUAAAAAUCAUAUCUUGAGUUUCACAACUCGAAAAUCACUUUUGUAAUUUUUUCCUGAAACUAGACUCAUAUGCCCAUAUACAUAUUUUUUUCUAGAAUUUUUGGUCGGGCCAAUUAGUACAGUUUAUUAGUCAAAGUCUCCCAUGUUACAGGGAUCGACUACACUGACCUUUGUGCAUUACGACUUGGAUAUCUCCCUGCGCAGAGCUUCAAUACUGAUGCCGUUUGUUUCUAUAGAAACUAGACUCAGAGUGGAAUCUAUAAAUAUAUGGCAUGACUCCUAAUUAUCUCUGGUUAAUUUAUAAUGAAUUUACAAAGUCGGAACAGGGAAUCAAGAAACCGUUCUGGCCCUGUCUCACGAGAACCUGAAUAUCUCUUAACAUACUGUCUAUAUGAUCGUUUUGUUACUUUCCUAUGAAAAUAGAUUCAUCAAGGUUCGUUUACAUAAUUUAUUCACUAUUUAAUUCCAAUCCUACUAUUUUUAGUGAUUUUCCAAAUCUACAUCACUGCUGCUUCCAGCAUCUGCCUUUAAGGUAGACUUUACCUAUUUCAUAGUUUCCAUGAUUCAACUAGCCCUUUUAGCAUAAAUAGCACAAAUUAUGAUAGCGAUUAACCAUUCCAUACCAAAUGAUUAUAACAUUAUGCUGAAACAUAUAUAAGCCAUUUUCGCAUGGCUAUAUACAUUAACCAAAAUAUUCUUCCGCCACUAGUCUAUUUUAUACAUGCCAUAAGAUAAUCCAAAACAUAGCAGUACCAAACAGUGGAUAGUGAUAGUGUGACUAGUUGCUGACGAUCCCCGAGCCUGUAGCUUCGCAAUGAGAUCUAUAAAACAGAGGAAACAGAGUAAACGGAGUAAGCAUUACAAUGCUUAGUAAGUUUUAAGCAGUGUCAACAGAUAACAAUCAAAUUAUAACAUAGUUGUUCGUAUUUUUAUUUCACUCUUCCUUCGGGCAUACCAUCCCUUUACCGAAUAUGCACAUCUCAUCAUAUACAAUGGGCAGAUAAACUUUCACAUAAAAGUGAGCUCAUGUGACAUAGAUAUAUCGUAUGAUUUCACAUAACCUCUCACACUGAUCCGAUGUCACAUAAUCAUAGGAAUAGUCUCAUAGAUUGCUCUCGUAUGCAUCACAUAACUACCUUAUGAUUUAGUGCAAAUCAAGCUCACAUAUAAACUUGGAGUACAUACCUGUUUAACCUUUCGCAUUGAAUAUAUUUAUAAGUAAUUCUUAUUACGAAGUCUUACCCGGACAUAAUCUCCACACGAAGUUAUCGGGUCUUACCCGGACAAAAUCCCCACACGUAGUCAUCGGGACUUUAGAGCUCGGAUAUAGUACGAGCACGAAGCUUAAGGACAUUAAUCAGUGAUAAUAUUCUCGCAUAAAGCCUGCGGGGUUUUAACCCGGAUAUAGUACUGACACAAAUGCCCUUCGGGACUUAUCACAUUUAUACACUUUCACAUCCGUCACGUUGGCCACUCGGCCCUGUCACAUAUAUAUACACUUCCACAUUCAUCACAUCGGCCAUUAGGCCUUAUCACAUAUAUACACUUUCACAUUCAUCACAUCGGCCAUUAGGCCUUAUCACGUAUAUACACUUUCACAUUCAUCACAUCGGCCGUUUGGCCUUAUCACAUAUAUAUACACUUUCACAUUCAUCACAUCGGCCAUUAGGCCCUAUCACAUAUAUAUACACUUUCACAUUCAUCACAUCGGCCAUUAGGCCUUAUCUCAUCACAUCGGCCAUUAGGCCCUAUCACAUAUAUAUACACUUUCACAUUCAUCACAUCGGCCAUUAGGCCUUACUAUCAUUUCAUAUUCGAAUACUCAUAAACUUACAAUAUCACGAUUUAGAAUUCAAGUAUGGGUUUAAUCAAUAGCUUAUGAGCAACUAAAACAAGUUUAUCAAGGUUCACAACAUAAUCUCAAAUUCAGCACAAGCUGUUUUUCCUGAGCAAUAGUCACUAAAUUAUUUAUAACUGGAGCUACAAAACUCCAAAUCACUUUCCGUUAAUUUUUCCUGAAUAUAGACUCGUAUAUCUUCCAUCCAUAAAAUUUCCAGAAUUUUAUGUUCGGCCAAUCAAUACCAGAUUUUUCUUAAAGUUUCCCCUGUUUUACUGUUUGACUAAUCUGACCACUCUUCACUACGAAUCAAAUUUCUCAUUUUACAGAAUUCAAAAUGUGUUGUAUUUGAUUUCAUUUGAAACUAGACUCAUUAAGCUUUAAUUUCAUGUCUCAUUCAGCCUCCCACUAACACAUUAUUUUUAUUACCCAUACUCUUUUAUUCAUCUUUAAUUCAUCUAAUACAUUUUUUUAUUACAUAUUUCUCACCACUAAUAAAUAUAAUAAUAUUAACCCAUGCAUAUAAUGCCCAUACUUAUAAGCUUGGCCGGCCACUAGCAUUAAAAGUGGCAAAUUGGCAUGCAAACCCACUUAUUUGCAUCAUUCAAUAAUUAAUCACUUAAAAUAAGCCACACAUAUAUUCAAAGCUUCUCACAUAAGUCCUUUUUAUUUAGAAACACAUUCAAAUUGACAAAAAUCAAAGCAUUCAAAUUUCACACAUGCAUGAUCACAUAUUUUAGACAUAAAAUAUUAUAUUCAAUUAUUUCUGCAACUCGGUUUAGCGGUCCCGAAACCACUUCCCGACUAGGGUCAAAUUAGGGGUGUCACAACUCUUCCCCCCUUUAGGGAUUUUCGUCCCCGAAAAUUUCUACCGAUGCAUAGUUUAGGAUAACGUCCUCUUAUUGAAUUAUAUUCAUAUAAACAUUAGCUCAUCGAUGGCAAUUGUAAUUCAUUAUUGAUUUCGCAUCGAUCUAUAAAAUCAUUUUCUUAUCUUAAAACAAAUACAUAAACAUUUCUACAAGUAUGCACAUAUAUCUCAUUUUCUUGAUUUCAUAAGUAAUAAUCACUUAAUAUGCACAUAUAUCUCAUUUUCUUGAUUUCAUAAGUAAUAAUCACUUAAUUUAAUUCACAAUUGCAUCUCAAACACAUAUUAAGCACAUAUUAAUAUGUAUAAUUCACAUCAUCAACCCACAUAUUUGUAACCCACAUUUUCAUUCAUGUAUAAGCUGUAACCUGACCGAAAGUACACAUAUACUCAAACAUCCCAAUAAAUAUCCUUUAUCACUCCAUCAUAUCUCACUAUUCAACUUAACCUAUUUCCAACAGAAAAUCAACUUCCACAUACCUGAACAUUGAGUUCAUUUAGCACAUUCAAUCACCGUUAACGAUACCCUUAUACAAUCGAUUUGGCAUCAAGCCUCAUAUUGUAUACCGGCAUGGGAUUUAUUUUAGCACAUAACCCAUAUAUCCAAAAUUAUCAGCAUUCAUCACAAACUCUUACAGGCUUUCAAAUGUCAAACUUAAUCAAAAUAAUUUCUUGAAUAUGAUUAACAAAAAAAAUAGGGGUCAUUUAGCAAUAGCACAUAUGACUUCAUAUACCAAGCAUUCCAUAGACUAAAUUCAUAACACAUUUACAACAUGAAUUCAUUUCUUAACAACAUAUCCACCAUCUUUUUACUUUCAUCUGAUUUUCUCAUAUCUUUCGUACAUACCUGUGUCACUUAUUCUGAUCUUACUUAAUUUAUCAUCUUAAAUAUACCUGUUGAAUCAUUCGAAAUCAUUACGGAUACUCAUUAAGCACAUAUAGCUCUUACAAUGCCAUAUCCUAGAUAUGGUCUUACAUAUUCUCACAUAUCGAGCCGAUGCCAUGUCCCAGACAUGGUCUUACACACUAUCUCAAAUCAAUGCCUUCGUCCCAGACGAGGUCUUACAUGAAUUCCACUUCACACACUUAGUGCCCACUGACCGAUCUCGCACUCAUAGUGCUCGGUUAACGGAAUUCGCACACACACAGUGCCUCUAAUCAUUCACACACAUAGUGCUCUUAUUCAUUCGUUAUUACACAUUGAAAUGACUUAACCAAGUCUAUAAACAUCAUGUAUGUACACUUGUAAACAUAUCAUCUCAUUUAAAUUUGAAUUCGUAUAGUAAUGAACACUUAAACUUUGCUCAAAUUACCGGCACAAAGCCUACUAGGCACGAAGGCCCGAAUACACGUCACCAGCAUGAUUGCUCUUCGGGACCUAGCCCGGACAUAACACCAGCACGAAUGCUCUUCGGGGUUUAGCACGGAUAUAUCACUAGCACGAAUGCUCUUCGGAACUUAGCCCGGAUACAUCACUAGCAUGAAUGCUCUUUGGGACUUAGCCCGGAUACAUCACUAGCAUGAAUGCUUUUCGGGACUUAGCCCGGAUACAUCACUAGCAUGAAUGCUCUUCGGGACUUAGCCCGGACAUCAUUCGAAUAACCAUGCACAUUUAACAAUAAAUCAUGACACAUUCGUAUUUCAUUUUCAUUAGCAAAACUCAAACACAAGACACUUAUCACUCUUGCAAUUUCGGCUCAAUAGCCACACACAAGGAGCAUGAUUUUGAUUUUCUUAAAACAUGAUCUAAUCAAAUCAUAAUUUAAGCUCUAUUACUCAAGAACUUACCCCUUUCCGCUGUCCGAAAUCGACUCGGUAAGGUCGCACCCUUAAUAUAAAUAAUUGAUAGAAUAUAUAUAUAUAGUGGGUUCGCACACAUAGUGCUUAAUAAUCAACCACGCACACUUAGUGCCAUGUACUUUAAACUCGCACAAUUAGUGCCAUGCAUUUCAAGCCCGCACACUUAGUGCCAAUCUCACAACCGUGAACACUUAUUGCCCGCACACUUAGUGCCAAUCUCAGAACCGUGAACACUUAUUGCCCGCACACUUAGUGCCAAUCUCACAACCGUGAACACUUAUUGCCCGCACACUUAGUGCUGAAAACCAACCACUCUAUACGCUUCACUGCCUUUUUACAUUCGACAAUUUCGUCUCUACAUGCAUAUACACAUAUAGCAAUACACAUUAGUAUAUCAUUUACAUUACUUGAAUACAAACACAACAUGCUUAUCGACCAUUCAACUUCCAGUUCCAUAGCCACAUACAAAAAUCACAUUUAUAGUCAUAACACUCCUUCAAAAUUGCAUCACUUAUACCCUUAUAAUUCAAUCCAAAUCAAAAUUCAAAUACGAGUACAUGAUACGUACCUGAUCAACUUAAUAAUUUAGGCAUAUCUAAGUGAAGUUAUAUCGUAAAUUCUCAUAGUCAGAAGCUUGCUACAGCUCGAUCAGGAUCAAGAUUCAUUGCAAUACAGCAAACACAUUUUAAUAGCCAAAAAUCAUCACACUAUCAUUUUAUCACUUUAUGGCAUGUAUAAAAAGACUCACGCGUGCUACGUUAGUCCUAGAAUCGACUAAACCGUAGCUCUGAUACCAAUAAAAUUGUAACACCCCGUACCCGAGACCGUUGCCGGGGUCGGACACGAGGGGUUCACAAACUAAAUUCGCUUACUAUCGCAAUCCAUUUUAAAAUUUUCCAGGCAGUUGGCUAACUGCGAUACUGUCACCUUAAAAAUCAUAUCUUGAGUUUCACAACUCGAAAAUCAGUUUCGUAAUUUUUCCCUGAAACUAGACUCAUAUGCCCAUAUAAAUAUUUUUUUCUAGAAUUUUUGGUUAGGCCAAUUAGUCCAGUUUAUUAGUCAAAGUCACCCAUGUUACAGGGAUCGACUACACUGACCUUUGCGCAUUACAACUUGGAUAUCUCCCUACACAGAGCUUCAAUACUGAUGCCGUUUGUUUCUAUAGAAACUAGACUCAGAGAGGAAUCUAUAAAUAUAUGGCAUGACUCCUAAUUAUCUCUGGUUAAUUUAUAAUGAAUUUCCAAAGUCGGAACAAGGAAUCCAGAAACCGUUCUGGCCCUGUCUCACAAGAACCUGAAUAUCUCUUAACAUACUAUCCAUAUGAUCGUUUUGUUACUUUCCUAUGAAAAUAGAUUCAUCAAGGUUCGUUUACAUAAUUUAUUCACUAUUUAAUUCCAAUCCUACUAUUUUUAGUGAUUUUCCAAAUCUACAUCACUGCUGCUGCCAGCAUCUGCCUUUAAGGUAGACUUUACCUAUUUCAUAGUUUCCAUGAUUCAACUAGCCCUUUUAGCAUAAAUAGCACAAAUUAUGAUAGCGGUUAACCAUUCCAUACCAAAUGAUUAUAACAUUAUGCUGAAACAUAUAUAAGCCAUUUUCGCAUGGCUAUAUACAUUAACCAAAAUAUUCUUCCGCCACUAGUCUAUUUUAUACAUGCCAUAAGAUAAUCCAAAACAUAGCAGUACCAAACAGUGGAUAGUGAUAGUGUGACUAGUUGCUGACGAUCCCCGAGCCUGUAGCUUCGCAAUGAGAUCUAUAAAACAGAGGAAACAGAGUAAACGGAGUAAGCAUUACAAUGCUUAGUAAGUUUUAAGCAGUGUCAACAGAUAACAAUCAAAUUAUAACAUAGUUGUUCGUAUUUUUAUUUCACUCUUCCUUCGGGCAUACCAUCCCUUUACCGAAUAUGCACAUCUCAUCAUAUACAAUGGGCAGAUAAACUUUCACAUAAAAGUGAGCUCAUGUGACAUAGAUAUAUCGUAUGAUUUCACAUAACCUCUCACACUGAUCCGAUGUCACAUAAUCAUAGGAAUAGUCUCAUAGAUUGCUCUCGUAUGCAUCACAUAACUACCUUAUGAUUUAGUGCAAAUCAAGCUCACAUAUAAACUUGGAGUACAUACCUGUUUAACCUUUCGCAUUGAAUAUAUUUAUAAGCAAUUCUUAUUACGAAGUCUUACCCGGACAUAAUCUCCACACGAAGUUAUCGGGUCUUACCCGGACAAAAUCCUCACACGUAGUCAUCGGGUCUUUAGAGCUAGGAUAUAGUACGAGCACGAAGCUUAAGGACAUUAAUCAGUGAUAAUAUUCUCGCAUAAAGCCUGCGGGGUUUUAACCCGGAUAUAGUACUGACACAAAUGCCCUUCGGGACUUAUCACAUUUAUACACUUUCACAUCCGUCACGUUGGCCACUCGGCCCUGUCACAUAUAUAUACACUUCCACAUUCAUCACAUCGGCCAUUAGGCCUUAUCACAUAUAUACACUUUCACAUUCAUCACAUCGGCCAUUAGGCCUUAUCACGUAUAUACACUUUCACAUUCAUCACAUCGGCCGUUUGGCCUUAUCACAUAUAUAUACACUUUCACAUUCAUCACAUCGGCCAUUAGGCCCUAUCACAUUCAUCACAUCGGCCAUUAGGCCUUAUCUCAUCACAUCGGCCAUUAGGCCCUAUCACAUAUAUAUACACUUUCACAUUCAUCACAUCGGCCAUUAGGCCCUAUCACAUAUAUAUACACUUUCACAUUCAUCACAUCGGCCAUUAGGCCUUACUAUCAUUUCAUAUUCGAAUACUCAUAAACUUACAAUAUCACGAUUUAGAAUUCAAGUAUGGGUUUAAUCAAUAGCUUAUGAGCAACUAAAACAAAUUUAUCAAGGUUCACAACAUAAUCUCAAAUUCAGCACAAGCUGUUUUUCCUGAGCAAUAGUCACUAAAUUAUUUAUAACUGGAGCUAAAAAACUUCAAAUCACUUUCCGUUAAUUUUUCCUGAAUAUAGACUCGUAUAUCUUCCAUCCAUAAAAUUUCCAGAAUUUUAUGUUUGGCCAAUCAAUACCAGAUUUUUCUUAAAGUUUCCCCUGUUUCACUGUUUGACUAAUCUGACCACUCUUCACUACGAAUCAAAUUUCUCAUUUUACAGAAUUCAAAAUGUGUUGUAUUUGAUUUCAUUUGAAACUAGACUCAUUAAGCUUUAAUUUCAUGUCUCAUUCAGCUUCUAAUUCAAGUCCAUAAAUUUAUGGUGAUUUUCUAAAGUCACGUUACUGCUGCUGUCCGAAGCAGACUAUUUCAAAUUACCCUUAAAUUCCCAAGCUCAAACACUUAAGAACUUACCAUUUGAGCUUAGAACAUAUCAUGGCCACAUCUUAUCUUAUUAAAUCAACUCAUCAUGUCCUAUUAUAAUUGAAUUUACUCAACGUUUAAACACUUAAAACUUACCUCGGAUGUGGUCGAACAAUUUCGGCGGCUAUUCGAUCACUUUUUCCUUUCCCUUAUCCAACUGUGGUCCUCUAAGCUCUUGAGCUAAUUCAAACAAAUUUAACUUAUUAAAGUCUCAUUAUGCUAGCUUAUGGCCGAAUAUGACAAGGAGUUUGAUUGGUCAUAUGGCCACCUUCUAGCUCAACUACACAAUGGUCAUAUGCAUUUUUAAUCACAUCAAGCAAUUUAAUACAAUUCAUUCGAACAUCAAAAGAAAACCUCAAGGUACUUAGCCCAUAUAUACUUUAGGCAUUAGAGUCACAUAUAUAUAUAUGGAAUCAUGAAUCAAACUCAACAUUUUAGCUAAUAUUCCCCCUUGGCCGAAUUUUCUAAGCCAAGACAAAAGCAUCAAUAUGCUUGCCUCUAACCGAAUACAUGCAACACCAAUCUUCUUCCUAUGGCCGAAUAUGCAUGUCUAUGUUUAGGCCGAUUAUAUACUUAAUACCACACAUAAAUGGCAUACAUUUUACUAACUAAUGCAUUACAUAUUAUUUAACCAUGUAUAUCACCAAUCAAUUUCAUCACAAUUUCACUUAAGCCUAAUCUCAAUACAAUACAUCGUGCUCAAAUCAUUAUUCAAGUUCAAAUUCGGCCAGCACACAUAUACAUACUAGCAACUAUGUAUUAACAUUUCAUUUCAUACUAUAACCGAAUGUAUAGCUCAUCGAAAUAUAUUUAUUCAUGUUCCCUUAACACAUAUUGGUCAACUAGAUCAUACAUUAUUCUUUGGCACAUUUGGUCAUUAAAGCAAUCACCUAUUUAACUUUCAAGCAUUUUUAUACUAACAUUUCUCCCAAGGCCGAAUUUAUAUACAACCUUUAGUACUCAUUUAAAGUUUAUAUUUUAGGUAAUUAAUAUACACAAUAUUAACCAAAUAUCCAUUUACUAAGCAUUUUAACAAAUUUUCCUUCAACUAUCCACACAUUCGGCAAUCACAUAAUCAAACACUAAAUCUUAACUUCCAAGCCAAAACAACUAGCAAAUUCAACACAUCCAACAUAAAUUUCCAUGCUAAUGACAUCAACACAACUACUAAGAAUUUCAAGCUCCUUGGCCGAAUUUCAAUCUUCCAAAAUAACAAAAAUUUGAGCCAUGAAAUAGGUAGAAUUCAAACUAACCAUUCAAUUUAUGCAUGCAUUUCCAAGAGUAGCAUUGUACAUACCUUGAUCUAGCAAUCUCCUUAGCUGAAAAUUUUAACAACAAAAGGAAAUUUCUUCUCCAUCCUUUCCUAGCUACGGCAAUGGAGGAAUAAACCAACUUUGGUUUCUCCUCCCACUAACACAUUAUUUUUAUUACCCAUACUCUUUUAUUCAUCUUUAAUUCAUCUAAUACAUUUUUUAUUACAUAUUUCUCACCACUAAUAAAUAUAAUAAUAUUAACCCAUGCAUAUAAUGCCCAUACUUAUAAGCUUGGCCGGCCACUAGCAUUAAAAGUGGCAAAUUGGCAUGCAAACCCACUUAUUUGCAUCAUUCAAUAAUUAAUCACUUAAAAUAAGCCACACAUAUAUUCAAAGCUUCUCACAUAAGUCCUUUUUAUUUAGAAACACAUUCAAAUUGACAAAAAUCAAAGCAUUCAAAUUUCACACAUGCAUGAUCACAUAUUUUAGACAUAAAAUAUUAUAUUCAAUUAUUUCUGCAACUCGGUUUAGCGGUCCCGAAACCACUUCCCGACUAGGGUCAAAUUAGGGGUGUCACAUAAUGGGUAUUUUUCUAGCUGUGAAAAAAUAAAAUAAAAUAAAAUAAAGAACACACAAAGAUUUUUACGUGGAAACCCUUUUGGGGAAAACCACGGGCAGAGGAGAAGAAAAUUCACUAUGUUGAAUUCAAUUUUUUUAUACAAGAGAAAUAGACUAUGUCUAUUUAUAGGCUUGUAAAGCCAUAUUCUAGUAAGACUGAAACACCUUAUUCUAAUCAAUAUCAAAUAGAUGGUAUUUAAUAAGGUUUAAAAAACCUUAUUCUAAAAAUAAAAUAAAAGAAGUGUAAUUCUAUAUGGAUUCUUCUUUUAUUUUAUUUUACCACUGUAUUUUAUUUAAAUAAGGAUUCGGGUCACUUAAUUCUAACACUAUCUUUUUAAUUGAACUCAAAAGUGGUUUUAAAUCAGCCCAAUUUGGCCACCGUGGGUGGUGGUGCACGCACCUAUAGGCAAAAAAGGGGGUUGUAGUUUCUUUAUUUUUUCCCAUCUUUUUCCAACAUGAUAUUGGGUUCUUGAACCCCUUCUAAUCAGCCUUUAGACAUGAGUUAAUUAGGGAAAAUCAAUGUUGAUCAAUCAACAAUUCAGAUUUAACUAUUUGGGAAGCAUAAGUGUGGUUAAUAGUAAGCUAGUGAAUUGUUUCGGUUUAGUUAUUGAGAAAAGUUGUCAAUUGAUCAAAUAAGAAAUUUUUAAUCAUAGAUUAACUAGUGAUUUUUUAGUAAUUAAAUGUGUUCAGGUGCUGACUUAAAUGCCCCAAAAUCAGUAGUAAAACUGAAAGACGUUUGCGGGUACCAUUCUGCUCAAAUAAGUGUAAGAAACCCAACUAGUUUGGAUUCAAAAAAUAGUUGUAUUUAUGGAGAUUGGGUUGAAUCAAUAAGUGGGUGUUUAGGGGCUGUUUAAGAGGUGUAUUUAUUUAAUUUUAUAUUCAUUAUUAAUUUAUGUCCAUUUUAAAGUUUAUGAGAGAAACCACAAGAUUCGCUAGUGUGUUACAAAAGAGUGUAAAAUAAGGUGUGGCCCUAAACUUAAUAACUUGAUUGGUAAUAAUAAUUGUUAUGAUUUAAUUGAUGAUUUAGGUUUUUUAUUAUGUUUGGCUUAAUAGCUAUGUAAUUAAAUUUUUGAGGCCGAAUCAGGUACGUUUCAAGCCCUAACUAUUUAGCACGGUGGCAAUGUUGCUAGUUUGACUGAAUAAUUGAAUGAUUGACAUUAUCAUGAAUGUUUGGUUAAUUUGAUAAAUGAUGUUUUAUGUAUAGCAUGUUUUUGAAUGAAAAUAAGGCUUAUGCAUGAUAUAUUUGUACAAGUGAUUUGCUAUGAAAUGUUCGUAAGACCACUAAGCAUGCACACAGAAGAGUUGUGAAUGUACAUGAAAUUAUGAUUUGUGAGUGAUACCAUCCUAAUGGUAAUUUGAAAGUUGGAUCAUUGAUUCCAUAUUCUAAAAGUAUUUGAUUAUUGAGGGUAUGUUGAACAUGUCAAUUAAAUGUGAAAGUAUUGAAUUAUAUCUAUGUAUGAGAUUGUGUGAAAUAUUGCAUAUGCAUUGGGGUGGAUAAUUAUUGUGGUUGACGGAGAAGUUCCGUGGGGUUUCGGCAGCAUAUUAAGUCCGCAUUUAUAUGUAGUAAGUACACUGAACCUAGAGUACCAAAGGGACUGGCAAUUUUGUCGCAUUAUAUUUUAUUUGACAGAUUUUCUACAUAUAUGUUAUGCAAUGGUUUUUACCACAUUGAGCGUUACUCGCAUGCGUAGAGUUUGGUAGAAGGGUUCAGGGGAACACGUGGAGUGUAGCAGAUGGUUGGGGUAGGAACCUUUUUGAAUUGCACCAUGCUCACGACAUACUUGAAUGUUAUUGAUUUAUGCUACGUAUUGUAUUGUGUUGUAUUGAAUGGUAUCGAAAUUAAUGAUUGUUACUCGAAUGAAUAAUGACCCAUGCUCAUACUGUAAUAGCCCAUUUUUAGUGAAAUCGAAACAAUGGUUUUGGGACCACAAAUAUGAGGUUGAAAUAUUUAUUUUAUUAUUAUUUUGAGGUCUACAGCAUGAUAGUAUGAUUAUAUAAAAAUUUCGUUAAGAAAUUCCGACGUUUGCAUGCUUAAUUUAGUGAAAAUGACUAAAUCGCGUAAAGUGCAAAUGUGUUCUAAUAGUUAAAGGUGUCUAAUAGCUAUGGAACCUUAAAAUAGAGGUUCUUAUGUGGUGAUUAUUCCAUAAAUGAGAUAGUGGAAGGUGAUGGCUUGGUAUAAUGGAAAUUUUAAUGUUUUAAAAAGGUUAUAUUAGUAAUUUGGUAAUUAAUGAUAUAUUAAAUAAAUAAAAAAUUAAAUAACUAUUUCAGUUAUUUCUUUGUAUUUGACAUUUAUUUCUGUUUAAAUAACUAUUUGACUCACAUUGAGCUUUCAUAAGCUCACCCCCAUAAUGUUUAACUUUUCAAGGAAACCUCAAAACUAGGAUCGAACCCGGCAUUUAGAAAAUCACCUUGGACCUCGGACUAUUUUUAACAAGUCUCUACUUGUUCUAGUUUGUAAUUUUCAAUUGUUUCUGGUUUCUCGCUUGGUAACUUUUUAUACUUGGGAUUGAUUAUUAAUUAUAAGUUGAUAUUGGAUUGAGCAUGUCACUUGGCUAAAUGAGAUUUUGGUCAUUUUUUCACUGCAAGCCAGAUAAACAAAAAAAAAAUAGUUUUUCAUCACAAGGCAUUCCAUGUAUUGUAACACCCUUCACCCGUAUUUGACGCUGGAACAGGGUUACGAGGCAUUACCGGACUUACUCGUAAACAAUCAUACAAUUCUGAAUCAUAAAUUUCAACCAAAUUUAAAACCAUCUACAUUCAGUCAUAAAGUCCCUAAUACGAACCUACGAGGCCCAAAUCAUGCUUUGGAAGUGGUUCGGGAUUAAAAGGAGAACUUAUGAAAUUUUUACAAAACUUAGAAGAUUUUUGUUAUGUAUAGGGGUCACAUGCUCGUGUGGUUUGGGACACGCCCGUGUGGUCACAUACGCCUGUGUCCCUAACCCGUGUAACUCUCUGUUUUGCAAGGCAUGAACAAAUUGAAGUCACACGGCCAAGCCACACGCUCGUGUGCUAGGCCGUGUGAUUAAUUAAUUUUCAUAAAAUAGGUGUAGACUUCACACGGCCAAGACACACGCCUAUGUCCAGGGCCGUGUCCCUCACACGGCUGAGAUACACGCCCAUGUCUCUGCCCAUGUGCUCAAUUCUGAGCAUUCUGUUUCUCAAAAUUAAGGUGUAGGGGACACACGGCUAAAACACAUGCCCAUGGGGCAGGCUGUGUGUCUAUCGGUGUGGAAAAAAAUAAAGGCUAUCUACCAAACCAAUUUUCCACCUCAUUUGCACACACAUACAAAACAUCAAAUGUCACAAAUCAUAGCAUACUUAGACAACCAAAACAUCCACAAUCAAGGCUAAAACAUGUCAUUGCAAUACCUAACAUACUUACAACAUCAUACUUCACCAAUCCAAAUCAUACCAAACUCACAUUCUACAUUCUCCAAUAUGGCUAUCAUUAAUUUGCAUUGUAUCAUAUAGAUCUUCUAGCAUACCAAUAAGCCAAACUCAAUCAUUUAACAACAAAGCUAUAUAGCCAUAAGUAAGCAUAUAGUGAACCAUUACAAAACACAUAAACAAAAGGCAUUGGCACAUAUAAUUAUAUAAAUAGGCUUACAACUAUUUUAGCCAAAUAAGCCAAUUACAUGGCUAAAUACCAAAUCACCUUAAACAAAUAUAAGUUAACACAUUUGGCCAAAUUCAUAAUGACAUAUAUAACAAAAUGACCAAGUCCCUAUACAUGUCAUAUACUCAAAAUGUUUAAAAUCAUUGAUACCCAAAAUGACAGUUUGAUAGUGUGAUUCGAUCUCGGACGACCUCCAAUCCGAGCUAGCUUGGUGACACUAUAAAACAUGGAAAAAUAAAAUGGAGUAAGCUAUAUAGCUUAGUAAACUCGUAUGAAAGAAAUAAGCAAAUCUUACCAUACAUUUAACCUUCAAGUAAUGUAAUAUAAGAUAAUGUAAUUUACCAUUAUCUCAUGACCAUAAUUCAUUUCAUCACAACUUACCUUGAAAUUAUCAUUUCACGAAUUUAAUAAUCAUAAGCUUUAUGUACAUACCUGUACCAUCUCGUAAUAAUUUCAUUCUUAUUCUCAUCAUUGACAUACCCAAUGAACCACUUGGAAUAAUAAUAUCAAACACUCGGGAAACCUUGCACACAAGGUAUCAUAUAUGUAGCCAUUGUUACCUCUAUCUCGUAUCACAUAUAUGCUCGCUCUCGAGCCAUCAACGGGCUUGCUCACACAAGCUGUCAGUCAAGACGUAGCUACAGUGUGCUGUUCACAUAAACUGUCGAGUAACCAUAGCAUAUGCCGGUAUAUUCAGCCACCGGUAGGACAUAUAGGACCAGCACCCGAAUCACAUAACAUAGUACCCUAGUGACAUGUCACUUGUAUCCUAAUCUAUUCCUGAGGUUCGAUUGGGAUUUCUCACUUGCCAAAACAUCGUCGAACGUGCCCGUAGAGUCAUUCACGCAAUUCAUACAAAAUUAAAGCAUUUAAAAUACAGUUAUAAUAGAGCUUAUUUACAUACGAACCUACCUCGGUUACAAAAACGGCGAAAAGGAUCUAUUCGUCAAUUACUUUGUUUUUCCUCCGAUCUAGAUCCGAACUUCAUUUUUCUUUAUCUAUAAUACCACAUUUAACUUAUUUAAUCAUCAAGCUAUUCAAUUCAGUCCAAAAUCACAUUAUGGAAAAAUUUAUAUUUUUACCCGUAAUAUUUCAACAUUUUACAAUUUAGUCCCUAGGCUCAUAAAAUGAAUUUCUUUAAAUUUCAUCCUAACUGAAGCCUAGCUGAACUUACCCUUACUCAUAACAUCCCACAUUUUACAUUUAUUCACACUUUACAACACAUUUUUCAACACUUUACAAAUGUCCCUAUUUGACAUUUUUACUGAAAAUCACUUUACAAAUGUUUAACAAACAACAAGCAUGCAUUUUCUACCAUUAAACAUCAAAAUACAAGCAUAUUCAAAAUGGGUAAAAUUUUAGACUUUAACUUUCUUUCAAAUUAGUCCUUGAAAUAGCUAGAUCAAGUUACAACGAUUUUAAAAAUAUAAAAAUCAUUAAAAACGGGACGAGAACGGACUUACAAUCAAGCUUGAAAGCUUGGCCAAAACCCUAGCUAUGGCUUCCUCCAAAAUUUCAGCUAUGGGGGGACUAAAUUGAAGAAGAUGGACAUUUUUUAUUAGGUUAAUUUGUCUUUAUUUACCAAAUUACUAAUUUAUCCUUAAUGCAUAACUUUAAAAUUUCACCUAAUCAUGUCCAUUUUUGUCCAUCCUCAAGUAUAAUGGUCUAACUCCCUUUAAGGGCCUCCAAUUUAAAAAUUCAUAACAAUUAGAUGCCUUUAACUUAUAAAAUUCAAGUUUUGCACCAAUUGCAAUUUAGCCCUUCUAGUCAAAUUGAGCAUUCAGUCAAUAAAAUUUCUUAACCAAAUUUUCACACAAUUAUUCUAUAAUGCUGUAGACCUUAAAGAAAUAAUAAAAUAAAUAUUUCUACUUCGGAUUUGUGGUCCCGAAACUAUUGUUCUGAUUUGACCCAAAAAUGGGCUGUUACAUGUGUCUUCGAUUGUCAUCGCUCCAUCUUCUCCUCAUCAUGGACUCCUUUUUGAAAGAAAAUUACAUUUAUGCCCUAUUUUUGUUUCAGGCUUACAAGAAUGAAAAAAUAAAAAAAUAAUACUUGUAACACCCCUUACCCGAGACCGUUGCCGGAGUCGAGCACGAGGCGUUACCAGUCUUCGCUUACUAAUUCGGGGCAUAAAAAUUUGCUUUUAAAAUUAAUACAGUUUCAUUCAUUCAUUAUGUCCAUAAAAAGGGUCCAUAAGACCCUAAAACAUGAAAUUGAAACGGUUCGGGAACAAACCAGACUCAGUAAAAUUUUUUCGAUCACUUAAACAAUUCAAAACAAUUUAUUUCAUCUUUCAUAAAUAAACUGUCCAUCUGCGUCAUAGUCACUAAAUAAAUCAUAACUCGAGUUAAGAAACUCGAAAUUCAAAUCCGUAAAUUUUAUCUGAAACUAAACUCGUAUAUCUUCUUACUAAUUUUUUUUUCAAAAUUUUUGGUCAAGCCAAUUAGUACAGUUUAUUAGUUAAAGUUUCCCCUGUUUCAGUGUUUGGCUGCUCUGACCUCUGUUCACUACGAAUUAGUCUUCUCCAUAUACAGAAUUAAGAUAACCAUGCCAUAUAUUUCUCUUAAAAGCAGACUCAAUGGAAUCUAUACAUAUAAAGUAUAACUUCUAAUUAUUUUUUUACAAGUUUUAGUGAAUUUCUAAAGUCAGAACGGGGGAUUCAGAAAUUACUCUAACUCUCUCUCACCAAAAUUUAAAUAUCUCAUAAAAUACAACUCCUUUAUUUACUCUGUUUCUUUCAUAUGAAAAUAGACUCAAUAAAAUUUAAUUCUAUAUCCCAUUCAAUAUCUAAAUCCAUUUCUACUAUAUUUAGUGAUUUUUCAAAUUCACAUUAUUACUGCUGUCUGAUACUGUUUUAAAGCUAAUUUCACUUUUUUCAUGAUUUCUAUGGAAUAACUAGCAUUUAGGCAUACAUAACACCAAACAUGUCCUUGAUUAGCCAUUCCAAUAGCUAAUCAUUAUCAAUCAUUUACAUACCAUUCAUUAGCCAUAUCAUAAGAUCAUACACACAAAAUGGCUACAAUGCUAUACAUGCCAUACUCAAAAUCAAACGUCUAGCUAUACAAAAAUAAUCCUUGUGAUAGUGUUCCCGGACCUCCGAUGUACUUUAUGAUCCCCGAGUUAGCUCUACAAAACUAUAAAAAGAAGAAAAAUAAAGGGGGUAAGCAUUAAGCUUAGUAAGUUUGCAUGCAAAUAAAUAACAACAUUAAUAAGAAUUAUCUUACUACUUGGCAUGAUACUACUUAAUGUAACUUCAUUAAUUGUCAUAGACAUAUUUUAAACUUCUUCACUUACUCACUUACUUAAAUACUUACUUAAUCAAAUUUAUUAAUACAUUUUACUUACCUUUUUCCUUAUCAAGCAUACAUGAACAUUAUAUACUUACCUUUGCUCUCCUAGCAUGAACUUGUUUUACCCUUUUUAGUAUAACUCGUCUUACCUUACCUUACCUUGAUAUUCUCUUUAAAUUUUCCCGUUGAACCACUUGGAAUACUAAAGAUACACGGGUACCUUGCCAUUGCCAUGACUUGUUAUGGUCUUACGUAGUAUCCUUUUGAAACUUACCAUUGCCAUGUCUCGACAUGGUCUUACAUGGUAUCCUUGCCUUACGAACUCACUAAUGCCAUGCCUUGGCAUGGUCUUACAUGGGACCUUUGCCUUAUAGAAACUUAUCAAUGCCAUGUCCUGAAAUGGUCUUACAUGAUAUCCUUGCCUUAGAAACCUUACCAAUUGCCAUGCCUUGGCAUGGUCUUACAUGGUAUCCUUAAACCCUAAUGUCAUGACAUUUGUAUCCUACACAUUCCUAAGGUUCAACCGGGACUUUCUAAAAUUACUUCUCCGUCAAUUCAUGCUUGAGUCUCCUUUGAAUAAUUUCAUAAAAUAAAUUUACACAUGCUGAAAAUUAACAAAAUUAACAUAAAAUAAUAGAAUAUUGCAUUUAUUUACCGCAAACUUACCUCGAAACAAAAUACGAUCAACUAUAUUGAUUUAGUCCACUAUCUUUUUCUUUCCCCGGUCUAACUCUGAAUUUCGUUCUUCUUGAUCUAUAAUAACAAAUUUAGCUUAUUUAAUACUCACAUUUAUUAAAACAUUCCUUGACUCAAACUUUGGAAAAUUAUAUUUUUGCCCCUAAACUUUUACAUAUUUACACUUUUGCCCCAAGGUUCGGAAAUUAAACUUCAUCCUAUUUUCUUAUGUUUUAUGACAUGCUGAUCAUUUUUGCCUUCUAUAGAAACAUCAAAUUUUCACUCUAACAUGUACUUAUGAACAUUAGGUAUUUUUACCGAUUAUGUCGUUUUACUCGUUUUCACAUAAAAUCGCUUAGCAAAAGUUGUUUAACACAAUUUAAAGCUUCAUAUUCUACCAUAAAACAUCAAAAUAAACACACUUCUCCUAUGGGUAUUUUUCCAAAUAUAAACUCUAGGUUGAAUUAUUGCUAGAAUAAGCUUAAUCAAGUUACCGGGACUCCAAAAACAUAAGAAACAUAAAAAACGGGGCUAAAAUAGACUUACAAUCGAGCUUGGAAGCUUGAAAAACCCUAGCUAUGUCUUCCUCAUGUGAAAUUCGGCCAAGGGGUUGAAGAUGGACAAAAAUUGGCUUUUAAUUUUGUUUUUAAUUCAUUUUAAUAACUAAAUGACCAAAAUGCCCUUAAUUAAAAACUAUGGUGUUUUAUCUUCCUUUAGGUAUUUUUGUCCAAACCAGUAUAAUGGUCUAAUUACUAUCCAAGGAAAUCGACUUUAAAAACCCAUUACUCACAAGUACUUAGUACCUUUGUGUAACACCCCUAACCCUAUCCAACACCAGACAGGGCUUGAGGCAUUACCGGAACGUUACACUUUUAGUGUACUAACUCGGGUCACAAAAUUUCAUUUGAAUUUAAAACCUUUCAAUCAUGAACAUCCCGUCCCUUGUAUAGGCCUUCGAGACCUAUAACAUAUCGGAAGGCAAUGCGGGACAAUUCAGACACGUUUGAUAAAUGCUGGGCUUCUCGAAAGAUUUUCUUUAUCAUGAAAUGUCACACGCCUGUGUAGGUGGGCCGUGUGAACUCACAUGCCUGUGUAUCUUGGGGCACGCCCAUGCCCUUCUGUAACAUCUCGAAAUAGGGCCUAAAUGGAAUAGUGGUUGCGAAACCACAAAUCUGAGAUAGAAAAGUUUAUUUUGAUUAAUUUUUAUGAUUUACCAAGUGAUUAGAUGCAUGUGUUAGAGUAUUGAUAAGAAAUUUUAUAGAUUGCAUGUUUAAUUUGCCUAUUAGGGCUUAUUUGCAGAAGUUACUAUAACAGUCUGAUUUCGGGCCAAAAUGGAACGAUGGUUUUAGAACCACGAAUUCGAAGUCAAAAAAUUUAUUCCGAUUAAGUUUUAAGGUUUAUUUAUUGAUUAAAAUAUUUUGUAAAAAUAUCGUUAAGUAAUUUUACUGAUAAAAUGCUUAAUUGGACUUUUAGGACUAAAUUGCAAAAGUUGCAAAAUAUGUGUUCUAAUUCAUAAUUACUUGAUUGAAAUGGGGGUUUAAAGAGGAGGUCCUUAAAUUGUAAUUAGACCAUUAUAUUUUGUUUGGACAAAAAUGGGCAUGAAUAGGACAAAAUUUUAAAGAAAGGCCUUAAGGGCAUUUUAGUCAUUUGGUAAUUAAAAGAAAUAAAAAGGGAAAAUAAAGCCAAAAUUGACUCAUCUUUCUCAUGGAGGCCGAAAUUAGCAUGGGGGAAGCCAUGGCUAGGGUUUUCAAGCUUUCCAAGCUCAAUAGUAAGUCCGUUCUAGCCCCAUUUUUCAAGUUCUUUACGAUUUUGGAAUCCCGAUAACUUGAUUAAGCUUAUUCUAGCAAUAAUUUAAGCUAGGGUUCAUAUUUGGAAAAAUACCCAUAGGUGAAAUGUGUUUAUUUUGAUGUUUUAUGGUAGAAUAUGAAGGCUGAAAUUAUGUUAAACAACUUCUGCUAAGUGGUUUUAAGCAAAAAUGAGUAAAACGACUUAAUCGGUAAAAGUUGUUAUUGCUCAUAACUAUGUGUUAGAGUGAGAAUUUGAUGUUGCCAUAGAAGGGAAAAAUUAUCAUCAUGUCAUAAAAACAUAAGAAUAAGGGAUGAAGUUUAAUUCUCGAGCCUAGGGGCAAGAGUGUAAAUACGCAAAAGUUUAGGGGUAAAAUUGUAAUUUUUCCAAAGUUUGAGUUAAGGAUUAUUUUGAAUAGUACAUUAAGUAAAUAAGUAAAAUAUGAUGUUUUAGAUCCUGGAAAAUGAGAUUUGAAUCUAGAAUGGGAGAAAAAUCGAAAAUCGAGAAAGUUGGUAAAAUGGCCGUUUUAGUAUCGAGGUAAGUUCAUAUGUAUAAUAAGCAUUAAUUUAUGCAUGUUUCAAUGUAAAAUUGAUAUAUUUACUAUGAUUGCCGAGGUGUUGAAAGUAAGUAUAAUUAUGAUGAUUUAAAUGUUCAAUAUUUAUUCGACAUGGAAACGAGAAAGUAUGCAAGUUUGUAUGUAAAUAAUACAUUAUCUUUAUUAUGUUUUUGUAUUUCAGAAUAUUUUAUGUAUUGUAGCUGAUUUUUGAAUCAUAAUUGACUAUUGAAAGUAUGGAAUCAAGUAUUAGAAAGAGAGAGAAACCCCGGUUGAACCUUCAGAAAGAUUGGAUGAUACAGAUGGUAUGUAGCUAGGUCACAUGUAUGGUGCUAAGUGCACAUCAUGUGUAUAAGAGAGCUACGAGACAUUAUGAUGUAGCUAGGUUGCAUGGGUGACACUAUGUGUACACCAUGUAGACAAGAGAGCUACGGGAUAUAUGUAGCUAGGUCGCAUGCGUGGUUCCAGGUGAAGGACACGAUGUAGACAAGAGAGCUACGAGAUAAACUGGCUAGGUCACAUGGGUGGUACUAAGUGUUCACCAUGUGUACAAGAGAGCCAAAAUUAUGUGUGUAACACCCUGAACCCGAGACCGUCGCCGGAGUCGAACACAAGGUGUUAACAGACUUCAAAACACUUAUUUGACAUUUCCCAGACAAGCUGCCAAUCUGCGUACUAGUCGCUUUAAAAAAUCAUAUCUUGAGUUCUGAAACUCGAAAUCCAGUUCCGUAAAUUUUCCCUGGAACUAGACUCAUAUACCUAUAUGGUAGAAUUUUUGUAGAAUUUUUGGUCGGGCCAAUUAGUACAGUUUAUUAGUUAAAUUCUCCCCUAUUACAGGGUACGACUACACUGACCUUCAUGCAUUACGAUUUAGAUAACUCCCUGCACAGAGCUUCAAUACUGAUGCCGUUUGUUUCUAUAGAAACUAGACUCAGAAAGGAAUCUAUACAUAUAUUGCAUGACUCCUAAUUAUCUCUGGUUAAUUUAUAAUGAAUUUCCAAAGUCGGAACAGGGAACCCAGAAACCGUUCUGGCCCUGUCUCACGAGAACCUGAAUAUCUCUUAACAUACUGUCCAUAUGAUCGUUUCGUUACUUCUAUAUGAAAAUAGACUCAUCGAGAUUAGAUUACAUAAUUUAUUCACUAUUUAAUUCCAUUCCUACUAAGUUUUGUAAUUUUUCAAUCCCACGUCACUGCUGCUGCCAGCAUCUGUUACUGAAGCAACUAUGCCCAUUUCGUGAUUUCUCAUUGAUCUAACUAAUAAUUCAUCACACAUAUCACAAAAUUUUAAUCAUGACUAGCCAUACCAAAGGCUAAUCAUUUUCAAACAUCUCCCUACUACACUAUUGCCAUAUCAUGAAUCUUAACACCAAAAUUAAUCAGCCAUGACAUAUGGCAUAAAAAUCGAAUUACCAAGACUUACGACCUAACGUUAUAAAACCACAUCCAACCGAACAUUUAUGCCAUUUUCGCAUGGCUAAAAGUUUACAUACCAAAGUUCAAACACAACAUAAUAGCCUAUACAUGCCGAAAUGUUCUCCUAAGCCGACUAAGAAGAAAGUACCAAAACUUGCUAGCUGGUGUGAUGACUUCGAUGACGACCCGAUCACGCAAAAAGAGACGAGUCCAAGAAACCUAGAAUAGGUGACAAGGAAACACCGAGUGAGUAUAUAACUCAGUAAGUCAUAAGCAAUGCACUACCAUCCAUUAAUAACAUUAUCACAAGAGGGAACAAAAUGGAACGAGGCUAGUUACUCCAUCCAUACCGAACCAUACCAUAGUUCCUUAGACCUAUCGGUUCAAUCUCAUACCAAGUCAUGCAUUCACAUUCCAUAUACUAAUCAAUAGGAUAUUUGAGGCAUUUUCAUACAUCAUUUUAUUUUCGUUACAAUCAUACAACUAAACGACCUUUCACCUAUUCCACGAUAAAUCUUAUGUACGUGACUUCAAUUAUAAAUGUCACAUAGGUUCAAACUUACCAAGCUCAACUCCAAAUAUAAUCAUAGCGCCUAUUAGCCUUGAACUCAAGGCACUUACCCGAUCUGCUGUUCGUGAUCAACUCAAUAAUGUCGCACACUUAGUGUCCAUAGUGAUUCAAAAAUAUAUAUAUAAGUCCGCACACUCAGUGCUAUAUAAUCAACUCGUACACUUAGUGCUAUAUAAUCAAACUCGCACACUUAGUGCUAUAUAAUCAAACUCGCACACUUAGUGCUAUAUAAUCAAACUCGCACACUUAGUGCUGUACAAUUUAAACCCGCACACUUAGUGCCAAUCUCAUGAUCAUAAAUGUUUACACCCGCACACUUAGUGCCGAAACCAACAACUCAAUACAUCUCACCUCUUUUUUUUUUUUUAAUACUUUCAUCACCCCAUGCAUACAUGCAUAUAUAUAUUUAUCAUUCCAUUCAGCAUCAUUACAUAGACGUUAUGACCAUUUAAAUUAAUACAACAUAUAUGCUUAAUGACUUACCUUGUGUUGGGUAAGACGGUUCCAACUCGGCUACUCGAUGAUCUUUUCUUUGCCUUUGCUUGAUUCUCCUCCUUUAACUCCUUGAGCUUAAUCAAUAAAUCAACUAGUUUAACCAUCUUGCUAAACAUUCAUAAUUCAAUUACACAUGCAUAUGUAUGUUUGUAUAUUCGGCAACCAUCCUCACUAAUUACCCAUUUAGUCGAUUAUACACAUAAUUAAAGGUAACAUCACGAAUGGGCAUACUUAUGUAUAUAUAUAUGUAUAUAUAUACUUCGGAAUGGGCAUCACAAUUAGAUUUAACACCACCUUCAUGCUCAAUUAGAUGGCCGAAUGUAUGUAUAUAUGUACAAUGUCAACUAUAACAUCAUUUAAACACCUAAUUUCAUCUCAUGAACACUUGAUCGAAUUUUCCUAAUCUAGCAUAUUUUCACUUCUAUUUGUAACAUCAUGUAAAUCCACAUAUAACUACAUUUCUUAAGUUCCACAUCUUAAUGCCCAUUAUAGCCACUCCCAUAGUCUAAAUCUAACAAUCGGCAACACCCACCUUUCCACUAUGUUAGCCGAAUACUCAUUCUCUUUUUAGUCCUAAAUUUGGCACCUCCAACAAAAUAGCUUAACAAUAUCAACUUUCAUGCUAACAUAACAAGCAACUUAACACAUCCAUAUAACUAGCAUGCUAAUAGCAUCAAGGUAUCAACUAAAAUUUUUUUAAGCUCCUUAGCUGAAUCCUAACUCUCCAACAACCCCAAAUCCAACCAUGGGAUAGAUAGAGUUUAGACUCAUCACCCAAAGGUUGUGUAAACUUCCAAAAAUAUCAUUGAACAUACCUUGAUCUAAAGGACCACCUUGGCCGAUCUUGCUUCCUCUUCUUCCUCUAGUUACGACAAUUGCAAAAGAAAGAAAACAUGAACACUCCUUCUAGAUACAAGCAAUGGCCGAACUUCUUCAAAACUUUUUCUCCCUUUCUUUUUCUUGGUUUUUCGGCUAGAAGAUGGCAAGUAUGAACACCCCUUUUUCUUUUUCUUUUUUUUUGUUCACUUUCCUAUUAUUAUUCCCAUCAUUUGUUAACCAAAAAAACAUAUUAAAUUAGAAUGAGUGGAGCAUCAUCACUCCUUGGCCGGCCACCAUGUAUUUUAUGGGUAAUUUGACAUGCAAAGCCAUGCUUCCUCUCCCUAUUAUUAAUUACUCCUUAUAAUUCAUCUAUCAUCUUUUCUAACUUCGUCAACUAGGUCCUUUUCGAAUUAAUUUACAUUCCUAAAGCUAAUAUUAAGCAUUUAAUUUCUCAUAUAUUCACUGUCACACAAAAAUUUAUGUAAUUAAAACACAAAAAUAAAUUUUUGGCUCGGUAAUGUGGUCUCGAAACCACAUUCCGACCAGGGUCUAAUUUGGGUUGUCACAACUCUCCCCCACAUAAGAAAUUUUCGUCCCCGAAAAUCUUACCGGUAAAUAAUUUUGGAUAUCGAUCCUUCAUAGAGUCCUCAAGUUCCCAAGUGGCUUCUUCAAUUCCGUGUUUAUGCCACAGUACCUUCACUAAUGAGAUUUUCCUAUUUCGUAGUUCUUUUACUUCACGUGCUAAAAUACGAACUGGUUCUUCUUCGUAACUCAAAUUAGAUUGAAUCUCGAUCUCCGAUGGAGGAAUUACGUGCGAUGGAUCGGACCUAUAUCGUCGAAGCAUCGAGACAUGAAAAACGUUGUGAAUCUUUUCGAGCUCAGGGGGCAAAAUUAAUCGGUAUGCAACUGGUCCAACUCGUUCGGAUACUUCAUACGGACCGAUGAACCUCGGACUUAGUUUGCCCUUACGACCAAAUCUAAGCACCUUCUUCCAGGGUGAAACUUUGAGGAAUACUUUGUCUCCGACCUGAUAUUCAAUGUCUUUUCUUUUCAAAUCCGCAUACGACUUUUGACGAUCCGAAGCGGCUUUCAAACUUUCGCGAAUUACUCGGACUUUCUGCUCGGCAUCCUUAAUCAAAUCAACCCCAAGGAUCCUACUUUCACUAAGUUCAGUCCAAAAUAAUAGGGUACGGCAUUUAUGACCGUAUAAAGCCUCGUAAGGUGCCAUCUUAAUGCUUGACUGAAAACUAUUGUUGUAAGCGAAUUCGAUCAAAGGCAGAUAUCUUUCCCAUGAACCACAAAACUCUAAAACACAACAUCUCAACAUAUCCUCGAGUAUUUGAAUUAUCCGCUCAGAUUGGCCAUCGGUCUGAGGAUGGAAUGCGGUGCUAAAGUGCAUCUUGGUACCCAAUGCUUCUUGUAAUUUCUUCCAAAAUCGCGAGGUAAAUCUUGGGUCUCUAUCCGACACGAUGGAAAUAGGUACCCCAUGCAACCGAACUAUUUGGGAGACAUAUAAUUCUGCCAAUUUAUCGAGCGAAAAAUCCGUACGGACAGGGAUAAAAUGAGCAAACUUGGUCAAUCUAUCAACAAUGACCUAGACCGAGUCCUUCUUACUCUGAGUCAAAGGCAACCCAGAUACAAAGUCCAUUGUCACUCGAUCCCAUUUCCAUUCGGGUAUCAUGAUCGGCUGAAGUAAUCCAGAUGGCACUUGAUGUUCUGCUUUUACUUGUUGACAUAUCAAACACCUUGAAACAAAGUCGGAGAUGUCCCGUUUCAUACCAUGCCACCAAAAUCGACGUUUCAAAUCGUUGUACAUUUUCGUACUCCCCGGGUGAAUUGACAUUCGGCUACAAUGGGCUUCGUUCAGAAUCAUCGAAAUGAGUUUUGAAUUCCUUGGAACACACAAACGACUUCUGAAUCUCAAACAAUCGUCAUCAUCAAUUUGAAAUUCGGAUUCCACAUUCGAAACACAUUCAGCUCGUUUUGCAACCAAUUCAUCAUCGACUUUCUAAGCUUCACGAAUUUGAUGAGUCAAUAAUGGUUUGGCUUUUAAUUCAGCUACUAACACAUUGUCGGGUAGAACAGACAAGUGUACAUUCAUCGCUCGCAAAGCAAAUAGUGAUUUCCGGCUUAAGGCGUCCGCAACCACAUUAGCCUUUCCCGGGUGAUAAUUAAUGACCAGCUCAUAAUCUUUCAACAACUCAAGCCAACGCCUUUGUCGCAGAUUCAAGUCUCGCUGGGUCAUCAAAUAUUUAAGACUUUUGUGAUCCGAAAAUACAUGGCACUUCUCACCAAACAAAUAAUGUCGCCAUAUUUUCAAAGCAAAUACGAUGGCAGCUAGUUCGAGAUCAUGGGUCGGAUAAUUUCUCUCGUGUGGCUUCAAUUGUCUCGACGCAUAGGCCACAACUCGACCUUCUUGCAUCAAUACGCAACCCAACCCAAGUAGGGAUGCGUCACUAUAAAAGACAAACUCUUUGCCUGAUUCGGGUUGCACUAAAAUUGGAGCUUCAGUCAAAUAAGCUUUCAGUUGAUCGAAACUUUUCUGACAUUUCUCCGUCCAUUCGAACUUAACAUCCUUUUGAAGUAGCUUCGUCAUUGGUGUGGCUAUCAUCGAGAAACCUUUUACAAAUCGUCGGUAAUAACUGACGAGUCCCAAAAAGCUCCGAACCUCAGUAAUAUUUCUCGGAGGUUUCCAGUUAAGUAUGGCUGAAAUUUUGUUCGGGUCAACUCGAAUACCCGAUGCGGAUACCACAUGACCCAAGAAGCUAACCUCUCUUAACCAGAACUCACACUUACUGAACUUAGCAUAUAACUGCUUAUCCCGCAAAAUUUACAACACUAGUCUCAGGUGCUCAGCAUGUUCGGUCUCAUCUCUUGAAUAGACCAAGAUGUCAUCAAUGAACACAACUACGAACCGAUCCAAAUAUGGUCUGAAGAUCCGAUUCAUCAAAUCCAUAAAUAUCGUAGGGGCAUUAGUGAGCCCAAACGGCAUCACUAAGAAUUCGUAGUGACCGUACCUCGUUCUGAAAGCAGUUUUGGGUACGUCCGAAUCUCGAAUCCGCAACUGAUAAUAACCCGAUCUCAAAUCUAUCUCUGAAAACACUGAGGCUCCCUUUAAUUGAUCAAACAAAUCAUCAAUACGCGGUAACGGAUAUUUAUUCUUUAUCGUCACUUUAUUCAGUUGACGAUAGUCAAUGCACAACCUCAUGGUUUCGUCCUUCUUUUUCACGAACAAUACUGGUGCACCCCAAGGUGAGAAGCUUGGUCGAGCGAAACCUCUAUCCGUCAACUCUUGCAAUUGAGCUUUCAAUUCCUUUAACUCGGUUGGUUCCAUACGAUACGAAGCUAUCGAAAUUGGCGUAGUUCCAGGUACAAGCUCAAUACCAAACUCUACCUCCCGAACAGGUGGUAAACCCGGUAAUUCUUCAGGAAAAACAUCUGGGUAUUCACAAACCACCGGUACAGAUUCGGGUUUCUUUUCUAAUUCUUUGUCAUCAAGUACAUACGCAAGGUAUGCUUCGCACCCUUUUCUUACAUAUUUCUGGGCCAACAUUGCUGAUAUUACAGCUGGCAACCCCCUUAAGUCCGUAGACUCAACUCGGAUUAUCUCGUUAUUUGCGCACCUCAAAUCAAUAGUCUUGCUUUUGCAAUUCACAACCGCAUCAUGCGCGGUCAACCAAUCCAAACCAAGAAUAACAUCAAAUUCAUCAAACGACAAAAGCAUCAAGUCCGCCAGAAAACAGGAAUCUCGAAUUACUAGGGGGCAUUUCUUACACACUUUGUCGACAAGCACGUAACGACCCAAGGGAUUUGACACCCGAAUUACGAACUCAGUAGACUCAACAGGUAGAGUCUUACUGGAUGCUAAGGUUUCACAUACAUAUGAAUGAGUAGAGCCAGGGUCAAUCAAUGCAAUCACAUUAGUAUCAAAGAGAGUGAAGGUACCAGUGAUGACGUCAGGGGAGGAUGCCUCCUCUCGUGCGCGAAUGGCAUAUGCUCUAGCAGGAGUACGGUUCUCGGCUCGAACAGCCGUAUCAGAGACCCCUCUCUGACUACCACCCCUACCUCCUAAAAUUCUCGGUGGUCUACCUCUAGUUGUCACUCCACUAGGUCUUGCACCUUGAAUCUUAUUCUUCUCAUCAAGCUCCGUGCAAUCUCUAAUGAAGUGGACCUUCGAACCGCAUCCGUAACAGGCCCUGUUAGUAGACUUACCCCAACAUUCACCUAGGUGUCGUCUUCCACAUUGGGGACAUUCAGGUUUCUCUUGAUGAUUAUUGCCCACACUAGCUACCGAAGUAGCUCGGGAGUCCGUCAGUGGUCGUGCUCUGAUGGAAAUUCCCGCAGUCGUCCUCGACUUAUUAGUGUCCUCCCUAAACUUCUUUACAGCUGAGAACAGAGCUUUACCCGUCGAUCUUUUUCAAUAGUCUCUAGCUUCAAAUUCAGCCUUCUUCCUUUCCUUUCCAAGUUCUUCUGCCUUGCAGGCUCGUUCGACUAGUGUUACGAAUUCUUUUAUCUCCAAAAUACCCACUAGUAGCUUUAAAUCUUCAUUCAAUCCUUCUUCGAAUCUCUUGCACAUAGCAACCUCAUCAGCUACACACUCCCGGGCAUACCUACUGAGUCUUACGAAUUCAUGUUCGUAUUCAGAUAUUGUCAUACGGCCUUGCUUGAGUUCCAAGAAUUCCUUGCGCUUUUGAUCAAUGAACCGUUGACUAAUAUAUUUCUUUCGGAAUUCCGUUUGAAAGAAGUCCCAAGUAACUCGUUCGUUUGGGACUAUGGAAAUCAGGGUCCUCCACCAAUAGUAGGCUGAGUCCCGCAACAAGGAUAUAGCACACUUUAGACAUUCAUCGGGCGUGCAUGACAGUUCAUCAAACACCCGAAUGGUGUUAUCAAGCCAGAACUCGGCCCUUUCAGCAUCAUCAGUAACUAUGGCCCUAAACUCCUCGGCCCCGCGCUUCCUAAUCAAGUCUACAGGUGGCUUACUCAGCCUCACAGGAUCAAUAACUGAUGGCAUUACGGGCUCAUGGGGUGGAUUAUUCAAAUUCGGGAAUUGUUGGACAGCCGGAUUGGUUCGGGCAUAUUGCGCGACCCACUCAUUCAUCAUGGUAAAGAAGGCUUGUUUAGCCCUCUCACCUUGAUUAUUCGCAGAUGACUGAGGUUCAACAGGCGGUGUCCCUUGUGCAGGAGCAGCCGCUACACUUUCAACGUCAUCCGCUAAGGUUCUUUCUACACCGGGGUCCAUUUACUAAUCAAAACAAAAAAAAUUUUAACCGUCAGAAGUCAUCACACAUUUAAACAUUAACAUUAAGGCAUGUAUAGCUAGACUCAUACGCGCUAUGGUAGUCCUAGAACCGACUAAACCAUAGCUCUGAUACCAAUAAAAUUGUAACACCCCGAACCCGAGACCGUCGCCGGAGUCGAACACAAGGUGUUAACAGACUUCAAAACACUUAUUUGACAUUUCCCAGACAAGCUGCCAAUCUGCGUACUAGUCGAUUUAAAAAAUCAUAUCUUGAGUUCUGAAACUCGAAAUCCAGUUCUGUAAAUUUUCCCUGGAACUAGACUCAUAUAUCUAUAUGGUAGAAUUUUUGUAGAAUUUUUGGUCAGGCCAAUUAGUACAGCUUAUUAGUUAAAUUCUCCCCUAUUACAGGGUGUGACUACACUGACCUUCAUGCAUUACGAUUUAGAUAACUACCUGCACAGAGCUUCAAUACUGAUGCCGUUUGUUUUUAUAGAAACUAGACUCAGAGAGGAAUCUAUACAUAUAUGGCAUGACUCCUAAUUAUCUCUGGUUAAUUUAUAAUGAAUUUCCAAAGUCGGAACAGGGAACCCAGAAACCGUUCUGGCCCUGUCUCACGAGAACCUGAAUAUCUCUUAACAUACUGUCCAUAUGAUCGUUUCGUUACUUCUAUAUGAAAAUAGACUCAUCGAGCUUCGAUUACAUAAUUUAUUCACUAUUUAAUUCCAUUCCUACUAAUUUAUGUAAUUUUUCAAUCCCACGUCACUGCUGCUGCCAGCAUCUGUUACUGAAGCAACUAUGCCCAUUUCGUGAUUUCUCAUUGAUCUAACUAAUAAUUCAUCACACAUAUCACAAAAUUUUAAUCAUGACUAGCCAUACCAAAGGCUAAUCAUUGUCAAAUAUCUCCCUACUACACUAUUGCCAUAUCAUGAAUCUUAACACCAAAAUUAAUCAGCCAUGACAUAUGGCAUAAAAAUCGAAUUACCAAGACUUACGACCUAACGUUAUAAAACCACAUCCAACCGAACAUUUAUGCCAUUUUCGCAUGGCUAAAAGUUUACAUACCAAAGUUCAAACACAACAUAAUAGCCUAUACAUGCCGAAAUGUUCUCCUAAGCCGACUAAGAAGAAAGUGCCAAAACUUGCUAGCUGGUGUGAUGACUUCGAUGACGGCCCGAUCACGCAAAAAGAGACGAGUCCAAGAAACCUAGAAUAGGUGACAAGGAAACACCGAGUGAGUAUAUAACUCAGUAAGUCAUAAGCAAUGCACUACCAUCCAUUAAUAACAUUAUCACAAGAGGGAACAAAAUGGAACGAGGCUAGUUACUCCAUCCAUACCGAACCAUACCAUAGUUCCUUAGACCUAUCGGUUCAAUCUCAUACCAAGUCAUGCAUUCACAUUCCAUAUACUAAUCAAUAGGAUAUUUGAGGCAUUUUCAUACAUCAUUUUAUUUUCGUUACAAUCAUACAACUAAACGACCUUUCACCUAUUCCACGAUAAAUCUUAUGUACGUGACUUCAAUUAUAAAUGUCACAUAGGUUCAAACUUACCAAGCUCAACUCCAAAUAUAAUCAUAGCGCCUAUUAGCCUUGAACUCAAGGCACUUACCCGAUCUGCUGUUCGUGAUCAACUCAAUAAUGUCGCACACUUAGUGUCCAUAGUGAUUCAAAAAUAUAUAUAUAAGUCCGCACACUCAGUGCUAUAUAAUCAACUCGUACACUUAGUGCUAUAUAAUCAAACUCGCACACUUAGUGCUAUAUAAUCAAACUCGCACACUUAGUGCUAUAUAAUCAAACUCACACACUUAGUGCUGUACAAUUUAAACCCGCACACUUAGUGCCAAUCUCAUGAUCAUAAAUGUUUACACCCGCACACUUAGUGCCGAAACCAACAACUCAAUACAUCUCACCUCUUUUCUUUUUUUUUUUUCAAUACUUUCAUCACCCCAUGCAUACAUGUAUAUAUAUAUAUUUAUCAUUCCAUUCAGCAUCAUUACAUAAACGUUAUGACCAUUUAAAUUAAUACAACAUAUAUGCUUAAUGACUUACCUUGUGUUGGGUAAGACAGUUCCAACUCGGCUACUCGAUGAUCUUUUCUUUGCAUUUGCUUGAUUCUCCUCCUUUAACUCCUUGAGCUUAAUCAAUAAAUCAACUAGUUUAACCAUCUUGCUAAACAUUCAUAAUUCAAUUACACAUGCAUAUGUAUGUUUGUAUAUUCGGCAACCAUCCUCACUAAUUACCCAUUUAGUCAAUUAUACGCAUAAUUAAAGGUAACAUCACGAAUGGGCAUACUUAUGUAUAUAUAUAUGUAUAUAUAUAUACUUCGGAAUGGGCAUCACAAUUAGAUUUAACACCACCUUCAUGCUCAAUUAGAUGGCCGAAUGUAUGUAUAUAUGUACAAUGUCAACUAUAACAUCAUUUAAACACCUAAUUUCAUCUCAUGAACACUUGAUCGAAUUUUCCUAAUCUAGCAUAUUUUCACUUCUAUUUGUAACAUCAUGUAAAUCCACAUAUAAUUACAUUUCUUAAGUUCCACAUCUUAAUGCCCAUUAUAGCCACUCCCAUAGUCUAAAUCUAACAAUCGGCAACACCCACCUUUCCACUAUGUUAGCCGAAUACUCAUUCUCUUCUUAGUCCUAAAUUUGGCACCUCCAACAAAAUAGCUUAACAAUAUCAACUUUCAUGCUAACAUAACAAGCAACUUAACACAUCCAUAUAACUAGCAUGCUAAUAGCAUCAAGGUAUCAACUAAAAUUUUUUUAAGCUCCUUAGCUGAAUCCUAACUCUCCAACAACCCCAAAUCCAACCAUGGGAUAGAUAGAGUUUAGACUCAUCACCCAAAGGUUGUGUAAACUUCCAAAAAUAUCAUUGAACAUACCUUGAUCUAAAGGACCACCUUGGCCGAUCUUGCUUCCUCUUCUUCCUCUAGUUACGACAAUUGCAAAAGAAAGAAAACAUGAACACUCCUUCUAGAUACAAGCAAUGGCCGAACUUCUUCAAAACUUUUUCUCCCUUUCUUUUUCUUGGUUUUUCGGCUAGGAGAUGGCAAGUAUGAACACCCCUUUUUCUUUUUCUUUUUUUUUUGUUCACUUCCCUAUUAUUAUUCCCAUCAUUUGUUAACCAAAAAAACAUAUUAAAUUAGAAUGAGUGGAGCAUCAUCACUCCUUGGCCGGCCACCAUGUAUUUUAUGGGUUAUUUGACAUGCAAAGCCAUGCUUCCUCUCCCUAUUAUUAAUUACUCCUUAUAAUUCAUCUAUCAUCUUUUCUAACUUCGUCAACUAGGUCCUUUUCGAAUUAAUUUACAUUCCUAAAGCUAAUAUUAAGCAUUUAAUUUCUCAUAUAUUCACUGUCACACAAAAAUUUAUGUAAUUAAAACACAAAAAUAAAUUUUUGGCUCGGUAAUGUGGUCUCGAAACCACAUUCCGACCAGGGUCUAAUUUGGGUUGUCACAAUGUGUACAAUCGAGCUAGGUCACAUGAGUGGUUCUAAGUGAAGGCCACUAUGUGUACAAGAGAGCUUCGAUUUUAAAGGUGGGCUGUGUGCGAUACCAUUGCGUAUCUGUUAUUAUUCCGAAGCGUUCAACUGGGAAAUUGAUUAAAUGAAAUUGUGUAUGACUUUGUGAUGAUAAGUGUAGGUAUAUACAUGUGUAACUUAUGAGCAAUAUGCUCGAUAUGUGAUUGGAAAUUGGAAAGAUUGUUAUGGGAAAGUGAUGAAUACAAUUGAAGUGUGAAAGAUCAAAAUUAACAAUAAAACUAUUCUGGAUAGUUGCAGUGACGUGAAUCUAAAAAUUUACCAAAAUUAGUAGAAAUUGAAUCAGAGUCUGAAUGAGAUAUCAAAUUAGAGCUUAAUGAGUCUAUUUUCAUAUAACAGAAACAGAGCAAGAAAAGGAAUUCUAUACUAUGAGAUAUUUAAGUUUUUGUGAGACUGGUUCAGAAUGACUACUUGAUCCCUUGUUCUGACUUGGAAAAAUCAUUAAAAAUUGUAAAAAAAUAAUUAUGGGAUAUAAUUUAUAUUAUUGAAAUCCUUAAUGAGUCUAGUUUCAAAUUAAAUAAACUAUAACAUCCUUUGAAUUUUGUACAAUGAUAAAAUUGAUUUGUAGUGAAGAGUGGUCAGAACAGUUGAGCAGUGAAAUAAGGGUAACUUCAAUGAAUAAACUGUACUAAUUGGCUAGACCAAAAAUUUUGAAAAUUUUAUGGUAAGAAUAUAUGUGAAUCUAGUUUCGAUAAAGAUUAACGGUUUGUAAUUUGGAGUUCUGUAGCUCCAGAAAUAAAUAAUUUAGUUGCUGGUACUCUGCUAGACAGCUUAUUUUGAACCUGUUUGUGAUUGUAAUAGUGAAAGUAUGUGUGUUUGUGAUGGUAAUAUUCCGGGAACAUAUUGUGACUUUGUUUAAAGCAUGAUAAUGUAUUGCUUAUUAAUAUUUACAUACAUACUUACUAAGCUAUAAUGCUUACUCCCUUCCUUUCCUUUUUCCUAAAGUGUCACAGAUGUUAGCUCGAGUUGGAGGUCACUGGAGUUUAAAUCACACUAUCAAACUAUUGAUCGAUAUAUAAAGGCUUUAAAGUAUUUUAAGUCUUUGGAAUGUAUGGAGACUCGUUUAAUUGUUAUUAAGUUGCUAGGAAUUGGCUUAAAAUACUGACCUAUGUUAUUUGAAGGUCUCUAUUGUAUAAAGUCAUUUAAUGUAGAUAGUCUUGAUUAUGUUAUUAAUUAUGAAUCAGUUUUUAUACGAUGAUUAGUGAUUAAGUCCGGUAAUGCCUCGUACGUUGUUCCGGCAUCAAACAUGGGUAAAAGGUGUUACACCUUCAACCUUGGGAAACACUGACUUAUCAACACAGCCAUGGAACACGCCCGUGCUGCCUGCCCGUGGACGACACUGUCAUUUUAACACGGCCAUGGCGCACGCUUGUGUGGCUUACCCGUAUACGACUUUGAGCUAAAAUUUUGAGUGCAGGGGACACACGGCCAUAGCACACGCCCAUGGGAGAAAAACGUGUGUCACACAUGGCCUAGACACACACCCGUGUCCAACCAUGUGGACUCUAAUAGGCUAUUUUCCAAGCCUUUAGUCACCCUUUUCUACUACUUGUGCCUAGUUGUUACUAAGUUUGAGAGAAAACAUAAUUUUACGCUUAUAAAUAAUCUUAAUGAAAAUAGUUAUGGAAACCUCAUAUCAUUGGUUUCAUACAUAAAUGGUUAUUUCCUCUUUAGUGUCAUGGGUUCCCAUGUUACAUUAAUCCUUCCGAAAUUGGCUCAUUCAUGUGGCUCAUUGCCAAUUUAUAGCAACCCAUCAUUAGUAAUUAAAACCAUGCAUAAAAUCAUAGGUCAUAGCCUACUCAAAUUAAGCCAAUUUUCAUGGCCGUAUACAAAGAAAUAAACAUAUUUUUACAUGCCUUAACUAGGCAAAUCAAAUGACACAUAUAAUAAAAUACUCAAAAAUACUAUGCAUGCCAUUUAACAAAAUAAACAGAGUCUUUAUACCAAAGCUUGUUUAGUUGAUAGUGUGUUGACUCUCCAAUUGUCCUCCAAUCCUUUCGAGUCCUUGAGCUCUAUGAGACAGGGAAAAAGAGAGGGGUAAGCAUUUACAUGCUUAGUAAGCUCGAAUAACCGAAAAGUAAACUUACCGAGUAAUUAGCAUACAUCCAUACUUAAUUCAUGAAAUCAUCCAUUAUGAAAUGAUUUCCUAUCACAUGCACUCAAUUAAUGAGUUUGUCACAUAAUCAUGUAAUUUAACUAGAGGAGCUCAUCAUCAUUCAACAUUUCAUUCACAUAUAUAUAUCCCAUGUUAAUCUCAUUGAGUUUCUAGGAAAUCUCGAUGGAAUACCCAUUAUCCGUCAAUUCUUACUAAUGAUCAUUUCACAUAUAUGUACUCCCGCGAACCUCACAUCAUAUGACGGGAUUACCAGUCCAGGCUAAAUCCCCUAUUAUAUGAACUCGUAAGGUGAUGUCGGGAUUACCAGUCCAGGCUAAAUCCUUUAUAGCGACAAACACCCUUAAUGAGUUUGGAUCUGAAUUACCAGUCCAGGCUAAAUUCAGACCCAAUUCAGAUUACCCGUCCGGGCUAAAUCCAAUGCACAUAUAUUCUUCGGGAGGCUCGAUCAUUCAAGGAACACCCGUCCGGGCUAGAUUCCUUUCCAUAUUUGAGAUCACGGAUUACCCGUCCGGGCUAAAUCCUUACUGCAACACAUGCAAGAUCUCAAUUGACAUGUAAAACAUGGUUUAUCCGUCGAAUUCCCUUUUUAACCUCAACCGAGACAGUUAUCAACAAGUCAUUACCAAAGGUGCAUUUCAUGCAUUUUCAUACCAUCAAUAAAUGAAAAUAUCAUGCAUUCAUAAGUCAUACAAUUAUGUAUAUUAGGGGUUUACUUUAAGUUAUCAGAACUUACUUGGUAUUCUUUUCGAGAUUGUGUUUCGGUUAUUCCGAAACCUUGCGUUUACCACGAUUGACCUCAGGAAUUUAUUCCUCGGGGUCUAUAAUAGCAAAAUUAACUCAUUGAUACCCCACAUUAUACAUUUCAAUUUUAAUAUCUACUCUCGGUUCAAAUGACUGUUUUGCCCUUAACCUUUAAUAUUUUUACGAUUUAGUCCCUAGGCUCGUAUAGUGAAACACAUGCAAUUUCUAUCUCACCCAAGCCUAGUCGAACAUUUUUCUCUCUUAUGGUAGCCCACAUUAUCCAUUAUUUUCUCAUUUCUACCACACAUUUACAUCUUUUGCAAAAUGGUCCUUAUAAGGGUUUCUCAUGAAAAUCAAUUAGAAAAAGAUGUUUAACACACAUUAAUCUUUCAUAUUCCUCCAUAGUCCAUCAAAACACAAUUAACUCAUGCAUGGGUAAAUUUUUAAACAUGAACCCUAGUAUGAAAUAUCGGUAGAAAUGGAGAGAUCAAGUUACCGGGAUUUCAAAAAUACCAAAAACAUGAAAAACAGAGCUUGGGAGCACUUACUAUUGAGCUUGAAAAUCGAAGAAACCCUAGCUAUGGUGUCCUACAAAUUUCGGCAGCUAUGGGAAGAAGAUAAGCAUAUUUUUGCUCCAUUUUUCUCUUUUUAUUUCAUUAAAAUGCCUAAUGACCAAAAUGCCCUUAUGCCCUUUUCUUUAAAAUUUCAUCCAUGCAAGCCCAUUUUUGUCCAAAAAUUUAGAAAUUGGGCAAAUUGCUCUCCAAGACCUUCUAAUUCAUAAUCUAAAGCAAUUUCAUACAAAUUUCUUCUAGAAACCAAGUUUUGCAAUUUAAUCAAUUUAGUCCCUAAUUUCCAAUUGGACAUCUUAUACUUAGAAUUUCUUCAUGAAACUUUAACACAUACAUAUACUCAUAUUCUAGGCCUCAUAAUAACCAUAAAAUAAAUAUUUUGAUGUCGGAUUUGUGGUCUCGAAACCACUAUUCUGACUAGGCCCUAUUUUGGGAUGUUACACUUUGUGAAUUAGAACACACAUUUUACGACUUUUGCAAUUUAGUCCUAAAUAUCAAAUUAGACCCUCUAUCGAUAAAAUUUCUAAAUAAAAUUUUCACACAAUCAUGCAAUCAUGCCAUAGACCUUAAAAUGGAAAUAAAAUAAAUUUUUAUACCUCGAAUUUGUAGUUUCGCAACCACUAUUCCGUUUAGGACCUAUUUCGGGAUGUUACAAUACUAUAUGGAGAUUAUAGUAUAUGGUCUAUUUUCUAUGAACCACAACCUUGAAAAAAUAUAAUAAUUAUAUAACAAAUAUAUAAUAUUGCAUUCAUUCACAUUCAUUCCCUUAAACAUGCGAAUAACUACAAGAAUGUAACAUCUUAUCAAAAAUUAAUCAAAUAAGAUGAAGAGAGAGAUUCGGUCUCAUUUUACACCAUAAACAUAGCACAACCUGACUCUUGAUACCAAUUGUUGGAAAAAUAUCUAGUUUGAAAAUGGAAUUUGUAACACCACUUACCCGCAUUCAAUGCCAAAAUAGAGUACGAGGCAUUACCAAACUUCUCACACGAACAACCAUACAAUCCUGAGUCAUGAAUUUACGUCCAAAUUAAAACCAUUUGCAUUUAAUCAUACAGUCCCUAAUACGAGCCUACGAGGCUCAAAAUGGGCAUUGGAAGUGAUUUGGGACUAAACUGAGAACCUUAGAAAAAUUUUACAAAACUUAAAAAAUUUUCCACUAAAUAGGGGUCACACGCCCGUGUGGAUAUGGGACACGCCUGUGUGGGCAGGCCGUGUGGUCACACAUGCCCGUGUCCUGACCCCGUGUAACUCACUGACUUGUAACUCAUGAACAAAUUGAGAUUACAUGGCCGAGUCACACGCCCGUGUGCUAAGCUAUGUAGAAAAUUAAUUUUCAUAAAAUAGGUGCAGACUUCACACGGCCAGGGCACACGCCCGUGUUUGAGGACAUGCCGUACACACGGCUGAGACAAAUGCUCGUGUCUCUGCCUGUAUGCUCAAUUUUGAGCAUUCUGUUUCUCAAAAUGAAGGUGCAGGGGACACACGGCCAGAUCACACGCCCAUGGGGCAGACCAUGUGUCACACACAGCCUAAACACAUGCAUGUGUGUCUACCCAUAUGGACAAAAACAAGGCUAUUUACCAAGCCAUUUUGCCACCCUUUAAUGUAUACACUCACACAACAUAACAUAGCACCAAUCCAAGCAUAUAUAUACAACCAAACAUCCACAACCAAGACAUCAACACAUCAUUUAUGAAAGGCAUCAUUAUAUAAAUAUACUUAUAACCAAUAUUGGCUCAUUUCCAUUGGCCUUAUACAAGAUGAACUUCUAACCAAUAUAAGCCAACAUAUUUGGCCAAAUCAAUUAUGACACAUAACAAAAUGACCAAGUCCCCUAUACAUGCCAUAACUCAAAAUGUUGAAUUCCUUAAUACCAAAAUAUUUGUUGAUAGUGUGAAUGGAUCUCCAAUGAUCUUUGAACCCGAGCUAGCUUGGUGUUACUAUAAGACAAGGGACAAAAAGGGGAGUAAGCUAUAUAGCUUAGUAAGUUCAUAUGCAAAUAAUAUGCAUUUUAACAAUACCUUAAUCAUGCAAUUUAUAUAAAGUGAGAUAACCUAAAUGUUACUAAAAUCUCAUAGUUAUAACUUGCUCAAUCACAACCUUAGCAAUAGUUUAUCACCCAUCGAGUUUAUUACUUAUGAGUUCUAUGUACAUGCCUAUACCAAUUCAUAAAAUAACCACAUCUUUUCACAUCUUUGACAUUCCCGUUGAACACUUGGAAUAUUAUCGGAUACUCGAAAAAUCUUGCAUGUAAGUGCCAUAUAUGUAGUCAAAGCUACCUCAUAUCUCAUGACACAUAUAGGCUCGCUCUCAAGCUAUUCACGGGCCUGCUCACACAAGCUGUCAGUUAGGACGUAACUACAUAAUGCUGUUCACACAAGCUGUUAGAUAACUGCAACAUAUGCUGGAAUACCCAGCUACUGGUAGCACGUACAAGACCAGCACCCAGAUCAUAUAAACAAAUAUACACAUGGGGUUCCUAGUGACAUGUCACUUGUAUCCUAUGCUAUUCCUAAGGUUCAACCGGGAUUUCUUGCUUGUCGAAACUUUGUCGAAUAAGUCCAUAGUCAAUCACACAAUUCAUGCAAUAAUAAAGCAUUUAAAACAUAAAGAUAUCAUUGCAUUAUUUACAUACGAACUUAUCUCGGUGCAAAAAUCGUAGAAUUGGACCUAAUAGUCAAACAUUUUGUUUUUCCCCCGAUCUAGGUCCGAACAUUGUUUUUCUUGAUCUAUAAUAACAAAUUUAACUCAUUUAAUACUCACAUUAUUCAAUUUAGCCCAAAAAUCAUAUUAUGGAAAAAUUAUAUUUUUGCCCCUAAUGUUUCACAUUUUUUCAAUUUAGUUCCUAGGCUCGUAAAAUGAACAUGCAUUUUCUACCAUUAGACAUAAAAAUACACAAAUAUAUAACAUUGGUAAAAUUUUAAACUUCAUCUUUCUUUCAAAUUGGUCCUUGAAAUAGCUAGAUUAGGUUACAAGGAUCUCAAAAACAUGAAAAUCUUUAAAAACAGUCCGGAACGGACUUACAAUCGAGCUUGAAAGCUUGGAAAACCCUAGCUAUGUUUUCUCUUGUGAUUUUCGGCCAUGAGAGGAUGAAAUUGAGAAGAUGACAUCUUUUAUUUGUUAAAUUUUGUCUUUAUUAGCUAAAUGAGCAAAAUGCCCUUAAUGCCAAACUUUGAAAUUUCACCCUACCAUGUCCAUUUUUGUCCAACUUAAAGUAAAAUAGUCUAAUUACCAUUUAAGGACCUCCAAUUUAAAAUUUUAUAUCAAUUAGACACCUCUAGCUUUUAGAACAUACAUUUUACAUAUAUUACAAUUUAGUCCUCUUAGUCGAUAUGGACACCUUAUCGAUAAAAUUUCUUAACGAAAUUUUCACACACUUAUUCAAUCAUACUGUAGACCUUAAAAAAAUAUCACAAUAAAUAUUUCUACUUCGGAUUCAUGGUCCCAAAACCACUGUUCUGAUUUGACCUUAAAACAGGCUAUUACAAUAUUCUUGCACAAUGAAAGAUCACAUGCUUUUCUUUUUUGUUUUCUUUUGAUUUAUUAAUUAAUUUACUAUUUUAACCUUUAAAAAAACUAAAAGUUCAUAAUUAAAACCCACUAACAGUCCACCAUAAUCUAAAUAGGUCUAAUUACUAUAUAAAUCUCUUAAUUCAUGAUUUUAUAUCUAUUUAAUACAAAUAAACCUAUAGUGCUUAACUUUUGUAGCUUUUACGAUUUAGUCUUUUUUUUACUUUAUUAAGUAACAAAAACUCAAAACUUUUCAAUCAAACUUUAUUACGACACAUUAAUAGACUCAUAAAUAUUAAAUAAAUAAUAUAAUACUAACUCACUGAUCGAAAUUGUGAUCUCGAAACCAUUAUUUUUUAUACCACUGAAAAACGGGUUGUUACAGAUUGGUAACAAAAUAAAAUUGUCAGAUAAUGUUUCUAUUUUUCUAUUUUCAUAAAAUAAAUAAAAAAAUUAAACAUUUCUUCAUCACAAGGCAUUGCUUAUAUCUUUGACCGUCAUCGCUCCAUCUUCUCCUCAUCAUGAACUUCUUUUUGGAAAAAUUACAUUUCUGUCCUACGUCUGUUUCUAGCUCACAAGAAUUCAAAAAAUAAAAAAUAAUACUAUGUGGAGAUUAUAGUAUACGGUCCAUUUCCUACGAACCACAACCUUGAUAAAAAGAUAAUAAUUAUAUAAAAAAGAUAUAAUAUUACAUUCAUUCACAUACAUUCCCUUAAACAUGCGAAUAACUACAAGAAUGUAACAUAUUAUCAAAUAUUAAUCAAAUAAGAUGAAAAGAGAGAUUCGAUCUCGUUUUACACCAUAAACAUAGCACAACCUGACUCUUGAUACCAAUUGUUGGAAAAAUAUCCGGUUCGAAAACGAUAUUCUGGCACAGUAGAAGACCACAUACUUUUCUAUUUUUUUUCUUUUGAUUUAUUAAUUAAUUUACUAUUUAAACAUUUAAAAACAACUAAAAUUUCAUAAUUAAAACCCACUAAUCGUCCACCAUAAUCUAAAUAGGUCCAAUUACUAUAUAAAUCUCUUAAUUCAUGAUUUUAUAUCUAUUUAAUACAAAUAAACUUGUAGUACUUAACUUUUGCAGCUUUUACGAUUUCAUCCUUUUUACUUAAUUAAAUAACCAAAAAUCAAAAUUUUUUAAACCAAACUUUAUUAAGACACUUUAGUAUACUCAUAAAUAUUAAAUAAAUAAUAUAAUACUAACUCACUGAUCGAAAUCGUGGUCCCCAAAACCAUUGUUUUUGAUACCAGUGAAAAAGGGUUGUUAUAGAUGGGUAACAAAAUAAAAUUGUCAACCAAUGUCUAUUCUUCUCUUUUUAUAAAAUAAAUGAAAAACAAAAAUUACGCAGUUUUUCAUCACAAGGCAUUCCUUGUAUCUUUGACUGUCAUUGCUCCAUCUUCUCCUCAUUAUGGACUCCUAUUUGGAAAAAUUACAUUUAUGUCCUACGUCUGUUUCUAGCUCACAAGAAUUCAAAAAAUAAAAAAUAAUCCUAUACGGAGAUGAUAGUAUAUGGUCUAUUUCCUAAGAAACACAAACUUGGAAAAAGAAAAAAAAAUUAUAUAACAAACAUAUAAUAUUGCAUUCAUUCACAUACAUUCCUUUAAACAUGCAAUAACUACAAGAAUAUCACAUCUUAUCAAAUAUUAAUCAAAUAAAAUGAAGAGAGAGGUCCAGUCUCAUUUUACACCAUAAAUAUAGCACAACCUGAUUCUUGAUACCAAUUGUUGGAAAAAUAUCCGGUUUGAAAAUAGUAUUCUUGCAUAGCAGAUGACCACAUGCUUUUCUUUUUUGUUUUCUUUUGAUUUAUUAAUUAAUUUACUCUUUAACCUUUAAAAACAACUAAAAUUUCAUAAUUAAAACCCACUAACAAUCCACCAUAAUCUAAAUAGGUCUAAUUACUAUAUAAAUCCCUUAAUUCAUGAUUUUAUAUCUAUUUAAUACAAAUAAACCUAUAGUGCUUAACUUUUGCAGCUUUUAUGAUUUAGACCUUUUACUUAAUUAAGCAACCAAACAUCAAAAUUUUUAAACCAAAGUUUUUUACGACACUAUAAUAGACUCAUAAAUAUUAAAUAAAUAGCAUAGUACUGACUCAUUGAUCGAAAUCAUGGUCCCAAAAUCACUAUUUUUGAUACCACUGAAAACGGGUUGUUACAAAUGGGUAACUAAAUAAAAUUGUCAGCCAAUGUCUCUAUCGUUCUAUUUUUAGAAAAUAAAUGAAAAAUAAAAAAUUACAUAGUUUUUCAUCAUAAGGCAUUCCUUGUGUCUUCGACUGUCAUCGCUCCAUCUUUUCCUCAUUAUGGGCUCCCUUUUGGAAAAAUUACAUUUAUGUCCUACGUCCGUUUCUAGCUCACAAGAAUUCCAAAAAUAAAAAAUAAUUCUAUGUGGAGAUGAUAGUAUACGGUUUAUUUCCUAAGAACCACAACCUUGGCAAAAAAUUAAUUAUUAUAUAACAAAUAUAUAAUAUUGCAUUCAUUCACAUACAUUCCCUUAAGCAUGCAAAUAACUACAAAAAUGUCACAUCUUGUCAAAUAUUAAUCAAACAAGAUGAAGAGAAAGAUUCAGUCUCGUUUUACACCAUAAACAUAGCACAACCUGACUUUUGAUACCAAUUAUUGGAAAAAUAUUCAAUUUGAAAAUAGUAUUCUUGCACAGCCGAUGACCAUAUGCUUUUUUUGUUUUGUUUUGUUUUGUUUUGAUUCAUUAAUUAAUUUACUAUUUUAACCUUUAAAAACAAUUAAAAUUUCAUAAUUAAAAGCCACUAACCAUCCACCAUAAUCUAAAUAGUUCUAAUUACUUAUAAAUCCCUUAAUUCAUGAUUUUAUAUCUAUUUAAUACAAAUAAAUCUAUAGUGCUUAACUUUUGCAACUUUUACGAUUUAGUUCUUUUUACUUAAUUAAGCAACCAAACAUCAAAAUAUUAAUUACUGACUCAUAAAUAUUAAAUAAAUAAUAUAAUACUGACUCACUGAUUGAAAUUGUGGUCUAAAACUACAGUUUUUGAUACCACUGAAAACGGGUUGUUACAGAUGGGUAAUAAAAUAAAAUUGUCAGCCAAGUUUUCUAUGAUUCAAUUUCUAGAAAAUAAAUGAAAAAAAUUACAUAGUUUUUCAUCACAAGGCAUUCCUUGUGUUUUCAAUCGUCAUCCCUCCAUCUUCUCCUCGUAAUGGAUUCUUUUUUGGAAAAAUUAUAUAUAUUUCCUAUGUUCAUUUCUGAUGUAAAAGAAUUCUAAAAAUUAUCCUAUAUGGAGAUGAUAGUCUAUGGUCUAUUUCCUAAGAACCAAAAAUCGUCCUAUAUCCCUAAUUAAAUUUAAAAUCUGCGUAAAACCCAAAUUAAAAAAAAACGGCCUAUAGGCCUUAUUUUGCCUACCAACCCAAAAUGAAUAAUAUUAGUUAGUCAGAACACUUUUUAAUAAUUUUUAUAAUUUUUUUUAUUUUUUAAAUAAUUUUUACGUUUUAAAAAAAUUACAAUUUUUAUAUUUUUUUACAUAUUAUUAAUGUUUUAGUAUUUUUACAUUUUUUUAGUUUUUUCAAUUUUUUAAUAUUUUUAAAGGAGUACGUGGUUUUGGUAAUUUGGAAAAAUUUAACUUUAAGGAAAGAGAAGUGUAAAUCAAUGGUAAAAUUUAACGAUUAAGUUUGGGUUCAAAAAAUAAGGUCAUGGAGGAUUCUCUCUCGACUCCAACAUCGACAGAAGAUGUCCCACGUACUUUGAGGAAAUUCAAGCAAACUCAUACGGUUUCUUAUGAUUAAGAGGAUUUGGUUGAGGCUUGUAAAGAUGGGAUAGUUGACAGUCAAAGUAGUCUCUAAUCUCAAAAUGCAUUGUAUAGAGAUCAUUUGGUUGGGUUUAAUCCAUCCCAACAACAGACUUGACAGGAUUAGGAUGUUGAUGGUGUUGAUGGUGAUGUUUGUUUUAAUGAUUUCGUUUCAAACUCAGAGGAAGCAGUUGUUUCUGGUGCUCGUGUGAUCUUUUCAGUGGAGGAAAAAUAGGAGAUGCGCAAGCCUUAGUGCACUACCUUGAAAGUAAAACUCUUGCGAAAAAUCUUAAUAUUCAAAGGUCUCUAUUCCAAAGUGCAACAACUUUGGCAUUUGGAGGGGAAUUACAAUAUCAUUAAUUUGGGUAAAUGACUAUUUCUUAUUCAAGUUUCAAUUGAAAUUAGAUUAUAAUUGUAUCUUGAAAGGAGGUCCUUGGAUCAUUGGUGGACACUACCUUACUAUUUGUUAGUGGUUUCAAAAUUUUUAGCCAAGUUGUGAUAAGAUUGAGUCUCUGUUGCUUGGGUUCAUUUUUCGAAAUUACCUCUGGAAUAUUAUACAUUUAUGGCAAUUCAGAGGAUUGCUUUUUGUGUGGGGAGGAUAAUUCGCAUUGAUUGGAAUACGAAAGAUAUUCAAAGAGGGGGAUUUGCAAGGGUUUGUAUUGAUUUAAAUUUAAACAAACCAUUGUGUUCCUCUAUUAGUCUUGGCAAGGUUUGUCAACGUGUUGAAUAUGGGGGGCUACAAUUGAUUUGUUUUCAAUGUGGUAAGUUUGGUCAUAGGAAAGACUAAUGUCCCAUGUCCACUUCUGUUGCUUCUGGCACUAAUAAGGUUCCUUUUUAUUUGCCUCAUGUUGCAUCAGAUAUGCCUUCAAAAAUGCCAUUAUAGCCGACGGAAGUGUCCUUUGGAUCUUAGAUGCUAGUGCAACGCAAAACACGGAAACUAGUGAAAAACCAAGUUUCAAAUGGCAAGUCUUCGAUUGGGAGUGAGUUUUGGCAUGACAUGGGGAGAUUCUCUACCUUGACUCAUGUGAUUGAUGAUUCUGGUAAUAACGAUAAGACUAAAUUUGGGGCUACAUUGAAGGAUUUUGUUAAGCAGAAUAAAAAUGGUUUUAAGGCUUGGAUGAAAAACGACUGGAAACUGAGGAAAGAUGGGGGGAUUAAAAUCCACUCUAGAAAACAUGAGGGUCAACUAAAGAAACAAAGAGAAAAUUUGACUAGUAAGUCUAAGGAUGUUAUGUUUGAUUCAACUCCUUUGACAAGUCCUUCUCUGGGCUUUCAUUUUAAAGCGAGCUCUUCCAACCAGAUUGUUCUAGACCCAGCAUAUUUAGGCUCUUUAAUUGCAACCUUUUGGUGCUAAUAUCAGUGAUAAGGCUCCUUCAAAUCCUAUAGUCAAUUCAAAUCAUGUUCCUUCUCCUUUGAAGGAUGUUGGUAAACUGGCCUUGUUUAUUGUAUCAAAGGAUAUGGCUACUGUAACACCCAAAAAUAGGGCCUAGGAGUUUUAGGGAUUUAUAAAAAUGAGUUUUAAAUUCCUUUAAUUUAGAAUAUAAGAUUGAUUUGUAAAAGAGUCAAAAUUGUGGGUCUUUAUGAAGCAAUUAAACCAAAUUUUAAAAACCAACCUGUUUCUUCCUUCCCACCUACAAUUUUUCACAUCAACUUUUCUUCAAAACUUGUGUUUGUCGUCUCUUGAUUCUCCCUUGCUAUUUUAAUCAAUUUUGAACUCCAGUUCCUAAUCCUCUUUGAUAUCUAUCAUCCUUGAACAUUAAACAUCUGUAAAAGACCAAGAAAAAACACCCACAAAAAAUGCCAUAGUUCCUUCAUUGUUAAGCUUUCAGGUUUUUCAAGUUUUUGAUCAAACAAUCAUUUUUUCGUCAACUAAGGUAACGAUUCAU
rnacentral:lncRNA from 1 species